AAAUUCAAGCCUUAAAAUCUAACCAUACUUGGGAUGCUGUUAUGUUACCCAAAGGUAGAAAGGCUCUACCUUGUAAGUGGGUUUAUAAGGUAAAACAACAUGCAGAUGGGAAAAUUGAAAGAUUGAAAGCAAGGCUAGUAGUAAGAGGGGAUAUACAAAAGGAAGGGAUAGAUUACAAUGAGACUUUUUCUCCAGUAGUAAAGAUGACUACAAUCAGGUGCCUAUUGGCCAUCGCCACUAAGAAAGCAUGGGAUGUAUACCAAUUUGAUGUCAACAAUGCCUUCUUGCAAGGAGACGUGCAAGAAGAAGUAUACAUGAAAUUUCCAAAUGGUUUAGAACCUCCCCAUCCUAAUAUGGUCUGCAAAUUGAGAAAAUCACUCUAUGGGCUUAAGCAAGCCUCUAGACAGUGGUAUGCUCGAUUAGUAGGAGCUUUGAGUUUCAAAGGAUAUGUGGCUUCAUUAAAUGAUUACUCACUGUUCUUUAAGCAAUGUGGGAAUUAUAUUUCAAUUGUGGCUGUGUAUGUUGAUGAUAUCUUAAUUACAGGGAAUGCUACAGAAGAAAUCAAGCUUUUAAAAGCUUUUCUACACAAGGAAUUCAAAAUCAAAGAUCUUGGACUACUACAUUAUGUUUUAGGUAUGGAAGUGCUAAGAGAAGAACAAGGAAUGAUUAUCACACAAAGAAAGUAUACCUUAGAGCUCUUGGACGAGUUCGAUGUCUCCCAUAUCUCUGCAUUAUCUUCUCCUAUGGACCCUUCUCUCAAGCUUACUGCAGAUUCAGGAACACCCCUGUCAGAUCCAACAAGUUAUCGUCAUCUAAUCGGCAAGAUUAAUUAUUUAACCCACACUAGACCUGAUCUAUCUUUUGCUGUGCUAAAACUCAGUCAGUUCAUGCAUAAACCAACUUCUAUUCAUUAUUCUGCUGGUCUACGAGUAAUCCGUUACCUGAAGAAGUUUCCAAACUAGGGACUUUUCUUCACCGCUUCUCCUGGUUUAUCUUUAGCCACUUAUUGCGACGCUGAUUGGGCCUCUUGUUUUGAUUCCCGUCGAUCUGUUAGUGGUUUCUUUAUCAGCUUAGGUGGAUCUCCCAUUUCCUGGAAAUCAAAGAAACAAAGCUCAGUCUCUUUAUCAUCUGCAGAAGCAGAAUAUCGUUCCAUGCGACGAUUGGUUGCUGAGUUAACUUGGCUUACUCGUCUACUUACCGAUCUGUCGAUUCCUCCUCCUUUGCUAGUCCCGAUUCACUCCGAUAGCCAGGCCGCCAUUCACAUCGCUCGCAAUCCUGUGUUUCAUGAGCGUAUAAAACACGUCGAGCUUGACUGCCACUUUGUUCGUCAACAGUACCUUGCAGGGCUGAUUUCCCUUUCCUUCGUCCCUUCCAGAGAUCAACUAGCUGAUAUAUUUACAAAACCACUUGCCGGUCCUUCUCAUCUUCACAACAUGACCAAGUUGGGCCUCACUCUGUUCACCUCCAACUUGAGAGGGGAUGUUGAAGAUAAUCAACUCAGACAUGCAGAUCAGGAAGGUGAAGAAGAAGACGAAGAGAAAGGAGAGAAGAACAAUGGACAUCUUGGGAACAAUGGACAUCUUGGGAAACAUCGAAGAGAGUAUCGAGGAGUUCCAGAUCAGAGGAACGUACCAAGUGUUUCAAAUGCAAUCCAGCAAUGUUAACAUUGGGGCCCCAUAAAUAAUGGGCUGGAUCGUCUAAAUAGUAUUGGGGAGAGUUGGGCCUUGAAGAUCAGAAACAGAAACAAGAAAUGAAGGCCCAAUUAUGGAUUCAAAGUUGUGAAGUGUUUAUAUCUUCUCACCAUUUGUAUAUAUCUAAUUAUACAAUACCUAGAUUCCCUUAACAGAUUUUUUUUUGUAAAGAAUAAAAGUUUGUUAGAUAUUUAGACAAAUAGAAUUAGGCCAGCUGGAUAGUUUGUUAGGAAUAGAAGUUUCUUGAUUUCUCAUAAUACUUGUAUAUAUAGUUGCUUACAAGAAGAAAGAAAUAUACAGAAAAUUUCCCAAAUCAUUUCUCUUUACUGUUUCUUGUAAUUUUUACAGGUUGGGAGGGUGUAAAAGAAAAUCAAAAUGAGUGAUAAGAAAAUUGCCAACUCAUCCUGGCCAAUAACAGGACGCCUAUUGAUCACCUCUGAAUACUCUCUUCUACUUUAUAAUAAUUUUUAUUUGAUAUUAAUAUUUAUAAAAUAGCAAAUAUAAAAAUUAUAUUUGUAUGCUAUAGUUAUAGUUUGUAUAAUUGCGCUCCAUAACAAACUUUAUGUUUGAUAUGAUUAUUACUAUGUAUAUUUUGGAUACAUAUACAAAAGAAUAAUUGUACAAUCUAUUUCGAUAUACAUAUACAAAAGAAUCGUACAAUUUGUGUUUGUAUAAAGCGAUAAAGUGAGAAAGUCAAAAGAAAGCUGGGCAGAAAAAAAUCUGUAUUUGUACAAUUAUAAGUGUAUAUAACGAAAAUUUAUUUAUUGUAUUUAUAUAUAAUUUUCUCUCGCUUUACACAAACACAAAUGUAAAUUAAUUGUAUAAAGUGAUAGAGGCGAGUGAGAGUGGCGAGCGAGAUUUUCUGGGAGAAAAGGCAAACGAAAAGAUAUGCAUAUAUACAACUUUCUUUUACUUUAUACAAGCUCAAACACAUUUUUACAUUUGUAUUUGUAUAAAAGUGAGAGAGGCGAGGGAGAGCCUGCCAACAAGAAAUGAGAGUGGCGAGCGAGAAUUUCAGGGAGAGAGACAAAUAACAGCAGUUUGUUACGAAUUAUAAUUUAAUCAAACUGUGAUUAUAAUAUUUAAUUUGAAUUAAUAAUUUUAUUAUUUUAUAUAAUUUUCUCAUAUUUAUAUUAAAAAAUUAUGACUAAUUUAAAUUGUAUCAUAAAGACUUUUUCAUAUAUAUCAAGAUUCAAAAACUUUUAAUUAGUGAUUGGAGGAAUUUAAUUCCACGUACCACAAUAUUGGUUUAAUAAAAUAUCUUUCCAUCAUAUCAACAUGUGUUAAGAUGCUACCUAAUUUUCCAUGGCUAUAAAGCAAAGUCUAUAAUUUGCUUUAAUUAAGAGAGAUCACAUAUCGUCCACUAAUUUGCUGCUUUUUCUUAGAUAUUUUCUUCAACAAGACCAUUAAAUAUUGCACUCAUCUUGUUUUUCUAAUUCUUCUUUUACACAAAGUCGUAGAGGCCGGUUUUGUGGGACAUCCACAUCUUCCCGUGAUUUAAUGUUUCCAAUACUUAAUUAGUUUUAUUUUACUUGAGUCUAUUUGCAACCCUCCCCCCCCCCCUCCCUCCAAUUAAGAACAAUAUAUUCACAUAUUAUAUAUGGAGUUUGGAAGAAAGUAGAAUGCAUGUAGGGUGACUUUGGUUCAAGUGUAACAAUUUAAGAUAUAAAGAAGAAGAAAAGAAUAAAUAAAAAGAAAAAUUAAUUUUAGACAAGAUGUGCAAAACCUAUGAGAAAAGAAAAUGAACGAUAAUAAAAUAAUGUAAUAGCCGAAACACAACAAAAAUAUGAUAAUUGGUAUAAGAAACUAGAACUAUAAUAGAUUAAUUAGUAAAACUACAAACACCAACAAGCUUGAACCUAUGAAAGCAAGGAAACACUCUACUAUCUACUAACCGUCUACCUUAAUAUGCAAUCUUCACACCUUCGUAUCUAAGGUCAUGACAUCAGUAUUUUGAACUUUCGUCGUGUCAUGUCUAAUCAUCUCUCUUCUAAUACAUUUUCUACCUUUCCUCAUGCCUACCAAAACUCAACCUUUCGCACUUCAUCAUUGGUGCAUUAGGCAUCUCUAUUUUACAUGUCCAAAUCAUCUCAAUCUCUUCUCCUUCAUCUUGUCCAUUCCAGAGGCCGUUCGUACCUUAUCUAGGAUGACCUAAUCCCUAAUUUUAUCGCUCCUAGUGUUUCUACACAUCCAUCUAAACGUAAUCAUUUCUCAACACACACAUUUUGAGCACGAAAGUUCUUAAUUGACCAACACUUUGCAUGUUUAUUAAUGAUCCAACCACCAUUCUACAGAAUUUAUCCUUAAGUUUCAGUUGUACUUUUUUAUCAGACUAAACCCCGGAGGCAAGCAAUUCUCUCCAUCCAUGCCACACCAAUACGGUGUGUGAUAUCGUUGUUGAUGUCCCCACUAGCCUAGAUUAGAGACUCGAACUUGAAAUUCUCUUUCUUGGGGAUAGGUUGUGUGUCAAGUCUCACUUUCACGUUUAACUCAUACAUCAUUAAAUUUGCACUCCAAAUAUUUUACAUUGAUCUUGCUCAACCUGACCUCGUAGACUCCAGAGUUAGUCUCCAUAACCUAAUAUUACAUAUCUCAUUAAUCAUUAUUAUGUUCUCCUGAAAUAACAUACCCUAAUAUUAAGUUUUACAAUAACAAUUUACUUAAUUUACCCAAAUUUUGUCAUGUAGAUUGACUAGUAGAAUGAUUGAUGAAAAAAAAAAUAGAGGUAAAAUUAUUUGUGGCCAAGUGAAAUUUGUAGUAGGCAUAGAAACGUGGCAAUGGGCACUGAAAAUAUCUUAUAUUAUAGUAGGGUCGUUUGAGAAGGCUUUAACACCACGAUUUUGAAGAAAAUGAUUCUAUGGAAAAUCAAAUCAAAUUUGUGGACCAAAAUGGAGACAACUCAUACACUAACCAAUGAUGACCCGUCUUUAGAUUUACAUCCCUCAAAUAAUCUUUACCCAAUUUCCACGGCCAAGAAUCAAGACUCAUUUUUUACAAAAACCCCUUCAUUCACAUCCAUUAGUUUUAGGCGGGCUGUUAUAGAUAUUUUUUCUUCAAGAAAACCAAAAGGGGUUGCAGUUUUGGUGGUGUAACAUGGGUGAAGCAGUGAUGACAAGUAAAAAAGAUGAUGAAUCUUUGCCAAAAAUGGUGCUUAAGGUUUUAUUGGUUGAAGCUGAUGAUUGCACUCGUCAGAUUAUUGCUGCUCUGCUUCGUAAAUGUAGUUAUAGAGGUUGGUCAUUUGGGGUUUCAACAGUAUUGCUGGUUUUAUGUUCAUUUGUUUCCAUUAAUCUUGAUAAUUCAACAACUAAACUUUGAGAACAAGCAACUGAUCUACAUCUUCUUUUGAAAUAGUAAAAAAGAACACAUUUUUCAGCAAUAGCCACUUGGGCAUCUGCACUCAUUACAUUAAGGUUUUGGGGUUGAUAACUUGAUACUAAGCUCCCGUUUGGCUAUAGAUUUUGAAGUUUGAAACUUUAAAAAUUGAGUUAAUGAAGUUGUGCUUUGAUCCUACAUUCUUGAAGUUUUGUGAUGGAAGCUUGUUUUUGGGAACUUGAAAAUAUAUGAAGAUAAGAUUUUCAAAAAUCACUCCCAAACGUUAAGCUAAGAUUUUUUGUAUUCGCUCCAAGUCAUGUUAAGAAUGUUGGUCCCUUAUAUAAAAAGAUUCAAAUAUUUACUACAUAAAUCACCAAAAAUACAUAAAAUUGGUAACUCUCAGAUUGCGGUUACUACCUUAACGUUUUGAGUUGGAUUAUCUGAUCUUCUACCUAAGACAUGGACAGUGAUUGUAGUGUGUUUGAAUAUCAAGCAGAUUGGAAUAGAAUUGUUUCUUUAUUUGUAAAAAAAAUAAUAUUUUUGUGUCCUUUUUUCCCCUUGUUUUGGGAAUGGAUACCUAGGAUUUUGUUUAGGCAUUUAGCCUGGCCGUAUCUUCUAUAGUUUGUCGUCUGUAGAACCAUUUUCAGCAUGAGCCUUUCAGUUACUGAGAAUACAAUCCUUUCUUUUACUUGUCCUCUUUUCUUCAGGUUAUAGCAUGGAGGAUAUAAUAUCACGCUCAUCCUGCACCUGGAGAUAUCUAGUGGUAUUAUAACUCCAUGUAUUCCUCCUAGACUAUGAUUCUGCAUUCGCUGCUGCUCCCCCACCCUGCACCACCCCUUAAAAGAAUAUCAAAGGAUGUAAUGUAUCUGUAAAAUUCCAUCCUGCCGUGAAUUUCAUUGACUGCUAUCAUGGUGGGGUUAGGAGUAUUACUUAACCGUACUUGAUUGUUGCCUACUGAAGACUUAAUCUACCACGUUUUACCAACCCGACAUCCACCCCUUACUUUUGCGCUUUGUAAUUGGUUACCUGAGAGACAUGUAUUAACUUUAUGUUUCAGCUCACUGUCAAUUCUUGUGGCGUGACUGUGUACAUAGCAUCUUGUUUUUUUUUUUACACUUUGUUUUUUGGUACAAAAGAAAUAGUAAGUUGUUUUUUGUUUUUUGGUACCAAAGAAAUAAUAAGUUGUUUGACAAAACAGUUGCUGCUGUUCCUGAUGGUUUGAAGGCAUGGGAGACACUAAAGGAAAGGCCUCAUAACAUAGACCUUGUAUUGACUGAGGUUGAGCUGCCAUCAAUAUCCGGAUAUGCACUGCUUACUUUAAUUGUGGAGCAUGACUUGUGCAAAAACAUACCUGUUAUAAGUAUGUUUUCUUGAUCUCAGCACUUAUUUUAAUGUAAAAUUUCACAGGGAUCGUAUUGCUUAAUAUGCCUAUUUAUUAUGCAGUGAUGUCCUCCAAAGAUUCUAUUAGCACAGUCUUGAAAUGCAUGGUUAAAGGAGCUUCCGACUUUCUCAUUAAGCCUGUAAGGAAAAAUGAGCUGAGGAACUUGUGGCAGCAUGUUUGGAGAAGAAAAACGGUAUGUAAAGAGAAGAAAACACUUAUAAAUGGUUAUCAAAUUUAACCAAUUGAAUUAACACAAGUUGUUUUAUUUUACUUGAAUGAUCAGCAAAGUGCUCGGAGUCAUCCUCGGAAUGAAGUUGUUGAAAAUCAGAAACUUGUAGCAGCUUCUGAGAAUGACACAGCAAGUAACUAUUCUAGCGAUAAUCUGGAUUCUGUUCAAAAUGGAAAUGACAAAGCUUGCAAGUCACAAGUAAGUGAUAUCUUCUGUGUUAACCUCAUUUGACUGAGAUGUAUGAGCUCCAUCAUCCUGCACUUCAUAGAUUUUGAUGUAACAUGAUUGAUUAUCUAUAUGCAAUUUUAUAUGCCAACUUUAAGCUAUUUUUUGUUACAGGUUUUCUUUUAUCAAGAGAAUAAAUAGACUAAGUGAGAUAAAAUGCUGAUCUUCUUUUGCGCUCCAUGCCAUCAAGUGCCUUCAGUUUUUCUGCAGAUAGUUGAUUUACAUCAUUUAAGUUUGAAAAGUAUAUACUUAACAAAAUUUAUGAUAAUGAUGCAUUAUGAAAUCACGUGAAGAAUAACGUAUUUCUAGAUUAGACUGGUUUCAUCAGGUUUUACAUAGAUGACAUCUUCUGCCAACUUUUGUGCAUAACUCUUGUCUCAUGCCUUUCUUGAUAGCUGAUAGUGUGUGUAUGCCAAAUAUGCAGGGCGUUACAGAUAUUAGGCAUAAAGAUGAUUCAAAUAUGUGCAACAAUGGAAGACAUGAAGAAUGUGUUGAAAUGGUUGAAAGAUCAUUUAUGCCAGAAAGUAAACCACUAGGUAUGGCGAGCCAUCCUUCUUCUAUCAAAUUUUGGAGUUAUACGUCUCAGAUUUGAACUGACAAACUAUCAUAUGUAGUGAACAUGACAAGCUCUGGAAUGAGAACUUCUUCCGGCACUACACCUGACAGCUCAGUUGCUAUUGGUUCAGAAGAUGCCACUCUUUGUGCUGAACCAAGGGUUACGGCUAAUGAAGUGCAUCAUGGAUGUUUUAGUGCAAAUAAGUGUACUGCUGAUGAAGUUGAUUUCCAGUUGAAUGAACUCUAUUCUGCUCCUUAUACUGCUGAGGCUGUUGACUUGAUGGGGAAUUUUGAAAAUUACUUGGCUCAUUGUGACGGCCAUUCUCACGACAGUAGAGAAAAAUCAAAUCUCGCUUCCAGGCUGGAUCUUUCUUUGAGAACCUUUAAUCCCAGUUGCUUAAAUGAUGAAGCGUCGUGGGAGCAGAGCAUGAUAAGUUAUUCAAAAGCAUCCGCCUUUUCUAAGUGAGUUUUACAUUUCUGUUCUUUGACAUUCUAUUGUUGAAUUGUCCUCUUUGCUUAGUGAAUUCCUCUAAUAUGAAGGAGCAGUUCUUCAUCGGGAAGAGAGCCCCAAAAUUGUAUCAUUGUCUCAGUAGAAUAGUAGUAUUUGUACUCUUUAAACACAAAAAAGUGUAAAUAGUGUGAGUAGCCACAUUUCAACUACUGCAUACUGCUGUUGGGGCAAGUUGAGAUUUGUGACAAUUCUUUAUCAGGGGAUGCAGCCUAUUUUACUGGGUUCACUUUUAGCCCAGUAUUUUGACAUAAGAGUGUAAAUAAACAUUUGAAAAAUUACUAAAACUUCAACAGUUAUUAAUUUAUGAAACCAUAAUUUCAGUAGUGCAAUGAAUUCAAUUGUCCAAAUUUAAAGGUUGAACCAAUCAAGUUUAAAUUCUUUAUUCCCUUCAGGUAUUAGUCACACUACAUAGCUUAUGGUAGUAGCAAUUUCUCUCUGACAGUUGUGAUGCAAUACUGGUGGCAGGGCCGUUCAUGCAUAUUAUACAGUAGGGAGAAAACUAGUAUAAGACAUCAUUUAGGAAGCUAUACGGUAGGGGUUGUUCCUUUCUGUUGCUCAUCACUGACUCUAUUCGUGGCUAUUUCAGAAAUCAACAUCUAGAAAGUAUCUGAGUUAUGAAGAAUGUGUAAUAUAUUUAAAUUUGAAGGCCUCUAUGUGCAUGUUUUUGUUUCUAGCUCUAAUUAAUGACCAAACCACUGCCCAGGAAAAUUUUGAAGAUUUAGAUGGGUAUCUCUUAAGGAGUUAACUAACUACAGGUUACUAAUUUUGUCGAUAGCAUGAAGGAAGAAAUUAUUGUACAAAAAUAACACAUGGGACAACCAGAUAUAUGCUGUAAAAGUGUAGUAAUUCUUUGUCCAGGAAAUAUUUUGAGGCUGAAUAUUAUUAUCUUGUCGUGAUAUAUGGUAAGAACCUCCAUUAAAUUCUUAUAUCCAAGAUAUACUAAACCAAGUCAUAGUAUAACUGUUUGUAUUAAUGUUAAGCCUAGCCACUCAUCUUUCUUUAUUGGCAUUUUUAAGUUGAAACCCCAAUAGAUCAAGGUUGGAAAAUUCACCUUUACUGUUUUGAGUGUAUGGAAAGGUGACUUAGAGUGUGUAAUGAUGCCUUCUACUUACAAAGUCACAGUUCUAAUGAAAUUAUCUUACCUUAUCACGUAAAAAGAAGACUCAGAAUGCCCUUAUUUGCUAGUUUAGUUAUUUAUUGCUUUCAGGCUGAUAAACCAAGGCUUCUCAUAUUUUAUCCUUGAUGGCCUCCCUCCCUCUAGUUACAAGUCCAAUUGAAUGUUGUUUCUCUGCGCGUCUUCUCUGAGAAAAGACGCAAGUAUAUUAUGCCUAUAUAUGAACACUAGUACAGCAGUAACUUGCAGUGUGACCAGUUGAGAUUAUUUAGUAAUUUAUCUGCCUAAAAUAUCUUACGAAAUUCCUUAACUGCUUAAAUUAGUUUCCAGAUGCUAUCUGAAAAUUGACUAAACCUUCUAUUAUGUCAGAUAUGAAAAUAAGAUGACGGUGCAACCUCUUUUCUCUGGAUUGAGUAGCAAUUCAGCUCCAUUGAAGGAAGGCUCUAGUGCCUCUACUUGGCAGCAUGAUGCUUCAUUGACUGAGAGUCAGGAAAAUGAAACAGCUUUGGUUAUGCGCCAACCGGGAAAUUGUAAAGUUGCACUAUCGGGCACCCAAGUAAGCUUCAUUCCGGUUGACAGGGUAAGGUCUGGAAGUAUGGCUGCCAGUGACAUUCAGAUAAAUGCUUCAGUAUACAAUACACAAUCAAGUUCUCAUCAUGUACAGAGCCCUCGAUCACAGUCUCCACUUCCAACAAGUUCUUUGACUUAUUCAACUUCCGAAGGUCAAAAUAUGGAGCAUUACAAACAACCAUUUGAUGAUACUACAGUUCACUCUGAGGAAAAUGUGGAAGAAGAAGAUGACAGAAAUUUAGUAACAGUUGAAAAGGCAAGAUAUGAUACUGCAAUUUGUGAAUCUAGUGAUUUGGGAGGUGGCAUGAAAAACAAGCUCAGUAGCUCUCAUUGUGGAAGUAUUUCUGAUGAAGCUGUUGAAAGUUCCUUCCCAGUUGUUAGUCCAGAGAGAGCUCCCGUUUCUGAGAGUGUGAAUUACAAUGAUAGGACAGGAUCAGAGAAUCACAGCACCAGCCAAAGGGAAGCAGCACUCAUGAAGUUUCGGUUAAAACGGAAAGAUAGGUGCUAUGAGAAAAAGGUAUACAUAACCUUAGUGCUACUUCCAUUAUCUUUUUCAUCAAUUCUAUUACUACUUUGGUUAUCUUUACCUUUUUCCUGCCAAUACUUUUUUGCCUUUAUUUUCUUCUUCAGACCUGUUCUGAAAACAGUUUUCUUGACCUGAAGUCUAUCUCAAACAGUCUCUACCCCACAAAAGUAGAGGUAAGGUCUAGGACACCCCCACCCUCCCUAGACCCCACUUAGGAGACCAGAUUGGGUAUAUAUGUUGUUGUUGUCGUUUGUAGUGCUUUUAUUCAACUUAGAUAUAUUGCAUCAAUUUUAAACGAGUGCAGCGUUAACUAGUCUAUAUUUUCUAGAUAGAUAGUUUAGCGGAAACGAGUGCCAUUUCUAUUGGUUUUUGACCUUGCAUAUAUUUGAAUGAUCAAAUAGUAGACAUAAACCACAAAACUAUUCAUAAGUAGACAACAUUUCUUUAUGUCCUUUAAUAUACUGAUAUCAUUUUUGUACAGGUUCGAUACGAAAGCAGGAAAAGACUUGCAGAGCAGCGACCGCGAGUGAAAGGACAGUUUGUUCGUCAGCUACAAAACGGAACUCAGCCUUUGUCGAAGCACAAGGACGAAAUGCGAAUAGUCCUCCAAUGAGAAAAAAAUAGUUAUUAGUCAAAUGUAGCAUAGCCAUUAAGAUAGAUAUACAGGUUUGUAGUUUUUGUGUGUUGUGUUAUGUGUGUAAUGUCUUUUAAGCCUGAGAAUUAGGGGAUUGAUGAUAGUUGCAACUCAAGAUGUUUCAAUUUUUAUUUAGUUAUUGGUUCAUGAUGAACUUAGCUAAGUAGGUGAAAUUUGUCUUGCAUUUGAGAGGAAGUUUGAAAUGUUUAAUGGUGAACUUUGCAAGUAUUUGUAGUUUGGGCAAGGAACUUGAGAAAUUCAUUUGAUUUGUGUAUAUAUAGUUGCACAAGAAUAUUAAAAGGAGAAUUCUUCAUGUUUUUUUUUUUAAUACAAUCUUUACCAUUUCAAAUAUAUAUAAAUAUAAAUUUUGUCUAUAAACACCUUUCUAUUUCACGAAGAUAGAAGAAAGAUGUGAGCAUAAUUCAUUUUCUUAAAAUUUUUUAAGUAUGUUAUUAGACAACAAAAAUUCAAAUUUGAUUGUAGCUAGUACGUAAAUAUAUUAAAUUUGUGUAUACGAUUGAAUCUAUCUUCGUUGUAUCAUUAAACAGUUGAACUUACAAAAUUGAUGAUUUAGUAGCAAAACUAUCAAAUUGGUCCACGGCAACUCCAAAACCAAAUGUCACGAAACUAAUUAAGUAGCAAAAAUGGUGAGGAAUUCCAUUUGCUAGGUGUCAUCACAUCAUAAGACUCCACCGUUACACAUAACACAAAAUUACAUAUUAGUCGGCAGCUACUCGUCAAGAAUCUUCUUCCUAAGCUAAAGUAACAAAAAACAAUAGAAUUUGCAUUGAAAACAACGAGCAAAGAGAGAACCUAAUUCCCUUCUCUUUUUAUUUUUCUUUCAUAGAUUCUAUCUUUUUUAUUCCACCUUUUCUCACCACUAUCACUCACUUUAAAAUUCAAACACAAAUCUACUUGUUUGUUUUAAUUACAUUUGAUCAUUUUAUUGUUCAUGUAAGGUUGGUUGAUCAGGUAAGCCUCCAUCUCUUAUAAUUUUCUUGUGGUUACAUUAAUGAGGUCUUUUUCUUUUCAUGUAUCUAACUUUAUAUACAGGUCAACAUCCACUUAUGACUUGAUGCAAAGAAAAUUAAGACAAGUAUACAAGAUUAGCUAGAAGAAGUUUUGGAGUGAGUUUUUUUUUUUUUUUAAAUGAUAAAAUCUUCACCUACUAGUUAGUGCUUAUUUUAAUUGGAAUUCACUUUCUUUUUCGAUAUGUAAAACUUAUAUACAGGUCAAACAUCGACGUAAGAGGCAAAUUUGUAGACAAAAUGAGUGAUUAUGACCAACAAAAGAUUCCAAAUGAAAGUGUUGGUUAUCCUCAAAAACCUUCUCCUAUAGCAAUAUCCUCUAAUGAUCCAAGUAGAAGAAGUCCAGCCAAAACUUUGUGCGCUUUGUUGUUCAUUUUAGUCAUCUUGGCUGGCCUUGUUGUGCUCAUAUUAUGGCUAGUUUAUAGACCCCACAAACCAAAUUUCAGUCUAGUUGAUGCUGCCAUAUAUGAUUUAAAUGUAACAUCCCCUCCUUAUAUGUCAACCAGCAUGCAAUUCACAGUGUUGGCAAGAAAUCCUAAUAGGAGAGUUCGAUUGGAUUAUGACCAAUUUUCAGCUAUUGUUUACUACAAGGGUCAAGCAAUUACACCUCCAGCUCUGCUUCCACCUUUAUUUCAGGUAAAAAAUAAAAGAAAAUUUGACUUUCUUUGAUACAUAAUUUACUCAGAUUAAUUUUGGCUCGUAAUUUAUUUCAGAAAACAAAAAGCACGGUGAUAUUAUCGCCGUUGAUAAGAGGUGCAUCGGUACCUGUGUCGGUGGAAGUAGCAAAUGGAUUACUGAUAGAUGAAGUUUAUGGAGUUGUGGGAUUGAGACUAGUUCUAAUGGGGAAAAUGAGAUAUAAAGCUGGAAUUAUAAAGACUAAACACUAUCAAGUUUAUGUCAAAUGUGACAUGUUGGUUGGCUACAAAAAGGGAUUUAUGGGUCAAGUUCCUUUGCUUGGUUCUUCAGAUUGUCAACUUCAUUGAUGAACUUUUGUUAAAAGUCUACUAUGAACUUGGAGAUUUGUUUCUUCUUAUAUCAAACAUGUAAUCAUAUACUUGUAUGUUCUCAUUCCACCUCACCUUUAUUUUGUAAACAAAAUUUCAAUUAAUGCAUCUUCUUCUCCUUUUACAAAUUUAAAGUGAGUUUUACUUUUUCUUUUUUUUUUUAAAUAAUAUUAUUAUGCUUGAAAAAUGUUGGAAUAUUGUUAGGGCUAGUUUGUUUCUUUUUCAACACUCCGGUAAUGAAUUGUAUUUUUAGAAGUGUAACAAAAAUAGUUGGUGUAAAUAUAUAGUUUUAAACAUAUUAUAAAUUUCAUUAUUAAAAUUUUAAAGAUAGAAUUCAAAAUUCGAACUCUUUCUUUAAAAGAUAGACGUUGUUUCCUUGUGGCUCCUGUAUUUAAAACAUUGAAACACAAAUUUCACUCUCUUCUUCCGCCUCUCUUUUAUUUCGCUUGUCACUUAUCUAGGAUAUUAAAUAUAAUGUGUAUUACUCUAGAUAAAUACAAAUACAUAUAUUAUAUAUUUAAAUUUGAGAUACAUACGAAUUUCAAUCGUCAUCUUUUUCUAAUUUGCUAGCUUCUCUCUCUAUAUUAUGUAUUUGGUAGCAUAAAUAUUUGUAUUUGAAUGUGAGAAACGUAAAAAACUCUUAAUUAAUGGUAAGGUAUAUAAUAUUUUAAAAGUAUACAUGAUAGUGAAAUAGUUUUUUCAAUAUUGUAUAAGUGCAGAUAUACUUAUUAUACAUAAAAAUACAAUAUAUUUUACUAUUAUUAUACUUGUGAAUAUAAUAUAUUUUGCUACAUAAAUAUCUUAUAUAUACGAAUAUACAUGAAUAUAGUGUAGUGUAGUUCACACAAAUAUAUCAUAUUCUAUUACAUAGAUCUUGUAUACACACUAAAGCACCUUCACUAUUAUAAUCUGUACAAACUACGUCUCGUAAUUAAGCAAAGCAAAAUUUCACUAUUUUUUUUUUUUUUUUAAAUAAUAAUCUAAAUAGAAAUAAAUAAUAUCAAACAAGUACUACAUUUAAGAAAACCCAAAUGUCCAAUGAAAUAGCACCAUAAAUUCCCUAUCCAAAGCAGAUAAUGAUAGGGUUCAUUCCAGAAAGGCAUAAAUGGGUGGUUCUUAUUACUUUUGAGACCUCCAAGAUAUCUUACAUUUCACUAAAUAUUUUUCAAAAUAUCCCAAAUUUUAAUUUUUCAGAAAAAAUAUAAUAUAUUCUUCUUAAAAUUCAAAAAUUAGCCAUUUAUUUGGUACUCAUUACUCAUCAGGAAAAGAAAUCUUGUUUAUUUUAUUUUUGGUGAGUUUUUGAUUUUCAAUUAAGUGAGAAGCAAAUGGCCUCAACAACUACCCCUUCACUUUCUCUCUCUUCUUCAUCGACCCUCGUCGACGGCAAGACAACUCGUCAGUCUGCAGCCGUGGCAUCGUCGCAAUGUGUGACACUACCAACCCUUCCGCCGCGGCCGGCCGUUCAAAGCCGUGCUGCCAGAACCACUGCUUACUGUAAGUAACAUUUAAAUUAUCCCGGAAUUAUAGUACUUGAACUAAAUAAUCUCAAAUUUCAUGUUUUGGGUCCUGUAACCUGUGCUUGAUUGACUCUAUAAAUUUUAUCAGGUCACCCAAAUAAUCCUUUAUUCCCUUCACCUUUUAUAGCCCAUUCGGACUAGCCUCGACUAACUUCAGGACUAGCACUUAUUGGUUGCUCUGCUUUGGAAAAACAUGGAUAGAAAUCACCUAUUAUUUUUACCUGCACUAGCAUUUGAAUGUGAGACCUUAUAGUGCUUGUUGAACUGCCUCUGUGAGACCUAAAGGAAGUAGCUUCUCUGUUAUUGAAAACAUAGUUUAAAAUAUUUUGUUUAUAGGACAAUUAAUAACAAAAGUUAGAAAUAUAGUUUGAAAUUGUAAGAGUUGUAAAGAAACAUACUGGAUCAAGCAUUCAGAAAGAAUGUAUAAAUUGGAUUGGAGGAAGUAACUUGUAGUGUAUACUAAAAAGUUAGUAGUGUCUUUUGUUAGUGAAUGUUGGCUACUCCACUCACUCAUUGCCUUAAGGUUACCUUUGUAAUUCCCUUGAUGCGGAUGUGCUGUGAUGCAGGUAGAAAGAUUGCAAGGAAUGUGGCCGCAAUGGCUACAUCAACUGGAGAAGUUGCCACUGCAGAUGCCACAGCUGAAACGGCAACCACUGAGCUACCAUCAGAGCUUGUCCAAAAGAUUCAAGAAGUUGUAAGGACAUAAUACAUACUACUUGCCUUUUCAACUUUACUUGUUUCUUGAUUUUCUCCUCCUGAAUAUUGAUACCUAUCUGAUUUCUUCUUUUAGUGGGACAAAGUUGAUGAUAAGUACGCAGUCAGUUCAUUGGGCGUUGCUGCAUUUAUUCUUCUUUGGAGCUCCACUGGAGUGAUCUCGGUACUGCUACUAAUUGCUACCUUAAGACUUUUUUAGUUCCAUUUUAGUUCAGGUGUUGCAAACUAUAACAAACUUUGACAAAGGGACUUGCUUAAUUGUGGCAGGCAAUUGACAGGCUUCCUUUGAUUCCUGGUGUUCUUGAGCUUGUAGGAAUUGGUUACACCGGUGUAAGUUGAAAUAUUUUCACUCUUAGCCACUACUCUGUAUGUUGUAACCUGAAUGCUAUAACCAAUAAUUACACUGAUAGGGUAAAAAAUAAACGUUAUACUUAAGUUAAAUCCUUUCUUUGAACCAUAUUGCAUAGGCAUUAGCAUCAGGCUUCAUCAAUGCUUGUUUGGUUAAACUUUGAACUAUAUAAUCGAUUACCAUGUUAUCUUGACUUCAUUUACACGUUUUUGGGGGAUCUUCCCUUCCUCUGCAGUGGUUUGCCUACAAGAACUUGAUCUUCAAACCUGACAGGUUAUUUCCGUUCCUUUGUAUAUGAACUAGUGGAAGUUAAGUUUAUUAUUCAUACCUUUGUGUGUUCAUCCUAGCUUACCUCUCUUCUUAUUACCUUUUGCUGCUAACAGAGAAGCUUUGAUAGCAAAAAUCAAGGAAUUGUACAAGGAUAUUCUUGGGAGCAGCUAAAUGGAAACAUAGUCCGAUGCUGCUGCAGAGACAUGGUCAAAAUAGAUUUCAGUUGAGCAAUCUUGCAGCUUUGCUCUUCAAAAUGUAAACUCUGCUUCGAUCUUUUGUCUUUUUAUUCUAACAGAAUAAAACCCAACUGAACUAUGUCUAUAUAUGUGCUUAUCUGUAUAUUGUCUUUUCAUUUCCUCACCUUCAAUAUGUUCUCAUUAGCAGUUGGAAGUUAAUGUAUAUCAAAUGCUUUCAAGUAAAUCCAUAUCUUUGCUAAUUCAAUGGCUUAAAAGAACUUGUGCAAUAAAACAUGUUACUAUGGUUAUAUAGUCCAAUAGCUAUACAUCCAAAUCGUGAAGAGGCAAUGCCUCAUCCUAGUAGGGGUGGAGGGACUAGGGAGGUAUGGGCUCGGCUAAAGCCAGUAUCUUUGGCUCAAACUCCAUGUUUGUUACAAAAGUUGAUUUGAAUUUGUACAAGUUACUCCUAGUAACUUGAAAAGAUUAGAGUCUAGAACCCAACAACAACAACUGGAUGCAUAUCCAGUGUAAUCUCACAAGUAUAGUCUGGGUAGGGUAGAGUGUACAUAGACCUUAUUCCUACCUCGUAGAGACAAAGUGUGGUUUCCUAAAGCACCCCAAAGCAGUUUGAAAAAGGAAAUAUGAAAAUAAAAAUAAUAAUUAGGGGUGUCAAAUGGGCGGGUGGUUGAAAUUUAAAAUAUUACAAUGGGUUGAAUAGAAAUUGGGUUGGGUCUCGACCCGCCCAAGUUUACUUUGGGUUCAAAUGGGCUAAAAAACGGGGUUGGUCUUGACCUACCCAAUUUGAUCCGAUUAAUCUCAAUAAUUUAACAUAUUGAUAUAUAACUUUUAUAAUCACAAUUUGAAUUUCGGCUCAAGAAUUUUUUGUUAAAAAAGUAACAAAUUGAUAGAUAAAUUCUAAAAGAUGUUAAAUAGAUAAUAAUUCAUACUUUCAAUAUAGGAACAUAUCUUAAUAAAUUUUUUUAAAACGGGUUGAAAUUGGAGAUUGAAUUGGGCUCAAUUGAGAAUUCUCUUUGCUUGAAUGGGUUGAGAUUGAACCCAUUUCAAAUUAUCUUGAGCCCAACCCUUAAAAUUCUGGGCGGAUUGGACGGGUUACGUAUGUUUGGGUUCAUUCUUUUUUCUGAAAACUAAAAAGGAAGGCAUCAUAUCAAAUGGAACAGAGGAAUAUAUAAAUAUUAUUAAGACAGAAGUUACAAUGAGUUAAUGACAUCCUCUCAAACUAGAGAAACAAACAAGUAGUAAUAUAAAUAUUAUUAGGAAUCAACGUCAAACAUUCAAGCUGGGCUAGUUUAUAAAUUCCAGUCCCAGAGUGCCACGAAAAUACAUAAUCAUAAGAGCGAAGUAGGUUGUGGAAAUCUACUUGUAAAAUUCCAUGACCCAAAAAUUACAGACACAACAUAUUAGGUUAACACCUUUGAAUCCAGCUUCACUUGCCAAUGCCCGAAACUCCUGUUCAGAACGCUCUUUACCUCCGGGAUUCUGAGCCAUCAUGAUCAAAUCACAUUGUGAAACUCCAACCACUGUGGUAUCAGUAUCAGGUUUCACUGGUAGAUUGGCCUCCACAACAAUCACCUUUCCGUUGUCCGGUAGAGCCUUAUGACAGUUCUUCAGCAAUUUGAGGCAGUGACCAUCACUCCAGUCAUGAAGGAUCCACUUUUCAUCAAUAAACACAGAAUGCCCUUAUUAAUCAUAGGUUAUAGAUACUAUUGGUGAAGAACAGGAAUGCAAGACUAUGCAAGUAGUUAAGUUCCAGCUGACACAAGUUGUGAGCGACUUCUUUUUUAUUUCAUAAAUCGGUCAACCCAAAGUUUGUGAACCCAAAAGUAUUGAAUUUAGGUCCGCUAAUUUGUGAAACAAAAAGAAGCGUUACAUAACUCGCAUCGGUUAUGUGAGGAACAAAAUAAAGUUUGUUUGACUGAACACAAAAUCUAAGAAAUUAAAGAAGACUUUCGACAUGUAAGCCAAAUAUAUGCACAGUACAUACAUACAGCCUCUGCUAAAGAUUUGGACAUUACCUUCAUAAAAAUAGCAUCUCCUUGUGGAACACUUUCAAACAUAUCUCCCCCAACAUGAUCCACCCCUGCAAUAUUUAUUAAGACAAAUUCAGUUCAUGUUAGGAAAUUGAGAGCUACCAUUUUAGAAAUCUAUCGAUUAAAGAAUCUCGUUAUUAUUUUAAACCUCGUAUUAUAAUCUCUGUAUAACUUGUUUGCAAACAAAACAAUCCAAUGAAUUGUAAUUUAAAUCUCUAACAUUGAAACAAAGUAUAAAUCUCUAACAUUGAAACAAAGUAUCAAAGUGAACAAUAAAACAAGAAUUAAGGUACCAGGAUAGGAAGGUGCAUGUUGAACAACAUGAGGCAAAUCAAAAUUAGUGCCCUUAAUUGUGGGGUAUUUAGAUGUAAUCAUCUUGAGAUUAACACCAAGACCACCUCCAACAUCAACCAAAGUUUUGAGAUUCUCAAAACCUUUGUAAUUUUCAAGUAUUCUUUUCAUGACAACAGUUGUGUGGUUUAUCAUUGCCUGGUUGAAAACAUCAUUGAACUUUGGGUCCAAUUUUGGAUAUUCAAAUGCAUGUACACCAUGCACCCUGUCAAAUGGAACUCCACCUUCAAGUACUGCAUCUUUUAGUUCAAACCUGUAAUUUAAAUUAGAUAGAGAGAGUCAGAAAUACAACUACUAUAAUUACGCCUCAGUCUCAUCUGGAAGCAAUUAAUUCCCAAGUAUCCAGCAGACAAUAUAUUCAGUGUAAUUUCACGAGUAUGAGUCUGAUAACAUACGUACUCUAACUAUCCAACAAUUUCUUGAAAUUAUAGUGUACCCUUGAUCUUUGGCAAUUGAGUGGACACAUUCUGUUAGCAAUUUAUAUGCUAACUUGAACCAGUUGAUGUAUUUGUUAACAUGAUAACUGUAAUUAACUUACAAAUUCCAUUAGUCUCAUGAUCACAUCACUUUACACUUGAUCAGAAAUCUUUGAUUCGAGCUAGGAAAUAGACUCAUUCACUCUGUCAUAGGUCCUAUGCAUCAUGGAUUUUAAUUGGUCGGCCUAGUGAGUUUUGGAUACCAGAUGGUUCGACAGGAAAGCAUUAAUAUUCUGAGAUUCCUUCAUGAAGUAAUAUAUAGGAAUAAUUAUCUAUUUGGCCGCCCUAAUAUAAUAGCCAGCAAAGAUACAUGUUUUGUAUAUUAAGAAUAUAAUGAAGGGAUCAAAAAAGGGUCUUCAACUUUGCAUGAUAUAUCCACCUGACUCUGACUCACUUAUAUUGUGAGAAAAUCUCUAAUAUAUACUCAAUUUGUUAGGUUAUACUAGGAUGACCACAUACAAUUGACAUGAUAAAAGUUUGGUUAAAAAGAAAGAUUGCUGCAGUAAAAAGAGAAAACUGACCAGCUGUUAAUGAAUACUUUAUCUUGAAGCAAAGCCAACAAUGGUCCCAUGGAUGCACCAUCUUCAUCACGUACAAAAAAUUUCCCCACUCGUGACAGACCAUAGCGCCUUUCGGUCACCCCAUUUCCCUCUUCAACAACCGAGCAAUCGAGUAAAGAAUAACUAGCUAGGACAUAAAGCAUCCGGUCUAGCAUGGUAGCGGCAUCAGGGUUCUUACAGUUAGGCAUGUGAGACACAAUUUCUAAAGCAGAUAGUUUAGUGGCGGCUUUAUCUUUUGCGAGUAUGUCAAAAACAUCCAAUUGGAUAGUUGAGUGCAAAACGAAGGGAAGCACUGACGAUGAGAGUAGUUGCAUGGCGUACGUGCAAUUACGCUCUUCGUCUUCCGAUUGUGUUGCUAACUGGAUAUUUGCUGUCGAUCCCAUAGCUAAAAAGAACUUAGAGAUGAACAAGAAAAUGUUAUUUUUGCUGCUUGGAGUGUUUUGUUAGGCCUCAAGAUGAUGUAUAAUGGGGUUAGACUACCCUUUUAUAAAUAUCAAACCAAGAAUUGUUGUUUUGUCAAAGAUUGGUCAUAAUUGAUUUCUUGGUGGGAAUAUUAGUAAUGCGUCUGCUUUUCAUUCGUUUUUUGUUCUUUUUCAAUUGCAUAGUGGCAUUCUAUCUGUUCUGAUUUAUUUAAAAAUUAAUUUGUUAUUAAAUAUAAAAAUAUUUUCUUUUUUUUUGUUUACUGAUGAAAAAGAAAAAUAAUUAUAUAAAUGGAGACUAAUGAAGUAUAUAUCACUCCCUCUAUCUGCCUAAUAUUAUUAUUUUAUCUCACGUUCAUGACUUGAAAGCAGUAUAUUCAGUUCAAUCUGAAAAUUGUAAUAAUAACAUCUCGAAGCAGCAGUGGAUCGCUCCAUUUCCUUCUUCCAUUGUGCACAGUUACUUCCUGUAUAUGUGAGUUGGUGGUAUGUUUUUUUUUUUGUUUACUGUUUGGAUUAAAAAUUAUUGCUUUUGGUAAAAAAAAAAAAGUUAGUGAAGCAUAAGGUCCACUAAAAAAGUGGAGAGUAGGCCACUUAACAUGUGAUUGGCUGUCUGCUUUACUGAACAAGAGAAUUCAGUCAUUUUCUUCAUAUUUUCCUCAUACAAUAUUACUAUAACAUGUUUUCUUCACCUAACCAUCAUAUUAACAUACAAUUAGUUAAUUGACUCUUAGAUAAUUAAAUACAUAAAGUUUGUUUUAUCUCUUGACUUUUAACGAUGGAUAUACAAAUUCCUAUUGUAUUCUAUUAAUUUACUUCUCAUUACUUUAUCAAAAUUGUGAAUACAAACAAUGUAAUUGUCUAGUUGAAGUAGAAUAUCGAUAUUUACAAAUUUUAUUUCUCUAUUAUAUUGUUUAAUAUGUUCAAGGUUGAUAUGACCACAUUAAUAUAUGAAGAUACAUUGAAUUGCUGUUAGUUUUUUUUGAAUGUAUUACUAAAUUCUAACUAACCCCUUCUAUUUAAUGAUGACAUAUGAAGAUACAUUACAUGUGUUAUUUUUUUUUUUUUACCUUGAUACGUUGCUUGUUGAAAUUUGCAAGAAAGAGUCUUCAACUAGAGAUUUUUCUUUUUUUUAAAAACAAUAAAUAAAUAAAAUCUUUGUUUGGUAUAACAAAAAAUAAAUAUGUAUGUAUAUAUCAAAUCAUGAAAUCUCCUUUAUGAUUAUUCUUUUUCAGUCCACUUUUUCUCUGUGAUGAUUUAAAGUUGUUGCACCUAACAUUACUAGAUUUAUUUUUUCAAUCACUUUCUAGAUGGAAAGAUAACCUACUUUAAGGUUUUCUUUUAGCUUCCUAAGUAAGUGAUGUUUACCAUUUUGAAUGAUUCUCUUGUCACUUGAAAUAAUCCUAUUAAUGCUAAACUUCUAUUAAUUCUAAACCGAAUUCCACCAAAAGAAUUUCGUGACGCUACUUAUAGUCCCAUUAACUAGUAUCUUGGCUAAUGUGCUUUAACAAAAUGGUAUCAACACUACAUUAUUUUUAUGUAAAAAUAUCCAGUUCACAAAAAUCACAUGUACAUCUACAACAUUUAACCACAACUUUUCUAAAGCACAAUGAGCCUUUCAACAAGACAUUAUGAACUCUAAUUCUUAACAAUUCUAAACCACAAAAUUAUGAACUCUAAUUCUUAACAACUCACAAACCUCUCAAGAUAUAUGUCCUCAAAUCUUUAAGUUAUCCCAACUUGAAGAUUAUAAUCCAAUAACACACUAAAAUUAAGAUUUGCAUUAAUAUUACAACUCAAAUGAACACAUGAAGGCUAAAACUUGUAGUUGCAUUAGGACCUGAUUCUUCAAUGUGUUCCUUCAAUAGUCAAACAACAUUGGCGAAGCCAAUUGGUUUUUGCUCUGUGAGUGCACACCUUGUUCUGAGUGACUCUCAAGCACAACUCUUCAGAGUGUUACUCAAAACUCUCUUGAUUUAAAAUUCUACAUCAAGUAAAGUUCUUUCUUAAAAUCAAACUCCUUGAUUUCAGUAUUUCCUUGACUUAAUCCGAAGUAACCAUUAUUCGUUUAUUGGUUUUUGCACGCUUAUCUUUAUAAUGUUAGUACAGUAUAUAUAUAUAUAUAUGACCUUGUUACAAAUUCAGCUCCUUGUAACAAUAAGUAUUAUGUGAACUAGUUAUAUAGGGAACCUAACAGUGAGGUCCAUAUGCAAUUGCUAAGCCCAUAUUCGCUGAGUUCUGGCCCAAGUAUGUUCCAUUUUAUUUUGAAAGUUAAUGGCUAAGUGGGCUCAUAAAAUAAUGCCACCCGAUACCUAUAUGCCUUCUUAUUUCAUGCUACAGAUUACUAGUAUUUCAUAUUCUACAACUAAACCCCUUAAAAUUUGUACAACAUCGGGUUUUAUCAAAAUUUCUCUCCAAAUGCCUAUCUUUAUAUCAUGUUGAAAAUUGAUAUAUAGAAAAAAUUUUUGGAGGGUUGGGGGAGUAGAUUAUCAUAGAUGUGUUAUGUAUAUUGAUGAAUCUACUUGAUUUAUAUAUACAUAUUUUGAUACCAUGUUAUACAAUGUGUAUAAAAUGAUUACGAGCAAGCCUUAUAAUGUGGUAGAAUAUUGAUUGUCACUACUGUAACAUUUAGGAAAUACUACAUCUGUCAUCAAGAUGCACCAUGCAUGUGUUCACUUGCGUUUUCUUGGAGGAAAAAAAAAAAUCCCUCAGGGCUAAAAAAAAAGGGGUGGAUAAUAAAUUUGUUGACUAUUUGGGUUUGGAUUUCAUUUUUUAUUUUAUAAAAAUAUAAAUAUAGACACUCAAAAGAAGAUUCGUGAACUAUAUUUUUUUUAAAAAAGCAGUCGCCAAGUGGCGUUUUGUGCAACCACAAUUUUUUCAGUAGAAAAAUUUUGACUUCACGAACUUCCUUCGCAGAGUAGUCAGCACGCGCUCUUGCCAACAUUCCACGUCAUCUGUAUUUGAUUACGUGGCAGCACUUUUAAUACCCUUUUGUUAUAUAAAUAAACUGAGCGAGUUAACUCACUUACUCGGUUUCCAAUUGAGAGUCCAACCCAGUUUGUGGUUGAGAUUACGAUUUGUAACCCUUCCGCUUUCUAUCGUUUCGAAAAAGUGCAACCUGGGUCCCACCGAAUAGACUGAAACCACUCAUUUCAAGCCACGUGGAAUUUCUUCUACUUGCUCUUCUCUCUUAUUCAUUUUCUAGCCUCUAAUUUAUUUCCUAUUUAUUGAAAUUGAAUCAACUCCGAAAAAUACUAGUGGCUGAGAUUUUUCUUUGAGAUUUUAUGGGAAAUGAAAAACCUCUUACCUGUACUAGUUUAGUGCUUGCUACCUCUGCCUCAAACCUGCUUCCUUCCUCUUCAUACUUUUUCUUCUUCUUCAAUUAUUGAUUAAUUUCUACUUGUGAAAUGGUUUUCUCCGAUCUACCAUUGCUGUUGGAUGACUUUUCACUUCAUGCAUGACCGAAACAACAACUAGUGUUUGUUUACAACAUGGCUUUCUUCGAAGGUAAUUUUAUUUUUGUUUAUAUAUCAAAUAUCUAGGGUUUAUGCUUCGUUUUUUUUUUGGUUAGAUUUAGAUUUGAAGUUGUUGAUGAUGAAUUUUGCAAACUAGUGAGUUGAGUUUGUUGGUUUGUUUAUCACUGAUUUGUUUUUGAUUUGAUUUCUGUAAAGGUUUAGGCAUCAUGCGGUUCGUUUUGGUGAGCAAUUCUGGAUAAAGGAAUUUUCUGUCUACAUCUAUGCUGGUGGACUCUGAUUUAAUAAGAACAAUUAUAUUUUACAAAAUGAAAAAAAAAUAAUUAAUUUAGCAGAAAGUAGUACUUACUUGCUGUAUAUUUAGAAAUCUGGAGGAAGGUCUGAGAUUAUUUAUUUUUAUUUUUUCAAAAUUUUGAAAUUAAGCUUAUAUUUAUAAUUUUGAUAUGGAGAAAGGCAGGUGGAUCAUUUGUUUCCAAUGUCUGUUUGUUACAUGUUCCUCUCUUUUGCAGUAGUGUUACAUUAUCAGGUUCUUUUGUACAACACCACGGAUAGACUAUAUUUGAUAGUAACUGAUGUUGUGGGGAGAAUCGGAAGAAGAUUUGUUCUGUAUCCCCUGUUUGUCCCUGAGGAUUUGAAGCAGAGAUAGCUAGCUUUGGUUCCUUUAUUUUGAUGGACCCUUAUUCCUCAGGGGAGGAACUUGUUGUUAAGGUCCCUUGUUUUUUUUGUAUGACUAUUAACUUUUGGUUGAUAAGCUGUUUAUACAAGUCUAAUGAUUGUUGUUGUGUUAUGGCAGACAAGGAAACCUUAUACAAUCACUAAGCAACGAGAGCGAUGGACGGAGGAGGAGCACAAUAGGUUCCUAGAAGCUUUGAAACUUUAUGGGCGUGCUUGGCAGCGCAUAGAAGGUCAGAUUACGUUCAUCUUUCAUUUUAUUUGUUGAAACCACACUAUGUAGCCUAAGUAUCUUUCUGAUAAAUAUCGUUUGUGGCAACCAGUAUGCAGAUAAUCGAUUAGUGCACAUGUUUGUGAAAUACACCUUUGUUUUUGCCCCCGUCAACUUAAUCUGAUAACUUUUGUGAUGUUUCUUUUAUCAUUUACAGCUCAAUCCACUGGAUAUCCCCUAUUUCAGAAAUUGGGGUCAACAUUCUAUUCUUUUUGCGUCUAUGCAUUCUCUUACCUUGAGGCUUUUUUGUGGUUGUUUAUUUAUUUUGUUAUUUUUCUAUUGUGCAGAACACAUAGGAACUAAAACUGCUGUGCAGAUCAGAAGUCAUGCGCAAAAGUUUUUUACAAAGGUCGUUAGCUACCUUUAACCUCAUGCUUAAUUAUAGCAUUUACUCGAUUGUUCAUUGUUCCAUGGUUUAAUUUUACGUGUAUCACGCUUACUUUAUACACUUAAUUAUCAUUGUUUAUUUUAAAUCAAUUGAUAUCUUUUUGUGUAAUUGAUACGAAUAACUAAUAUCAAUAGUGGCAAUGAUCUUCAGUCUGAGUAUCACCUAUGAUAGAAAAACUUCCACAUGCUUCACCCACAAUUGUUUGUGUCAGGCACAAGGGUACAUGUUGAAAACUUAAUGGAAUAUAAAUAGGAAUAUGAAUAAUUGUCUGUCAUGCCCCAAAAAGGAAGGCUGUCACUUGGUGGCUUCAAAUCCCACCAAGGGAACCACAUUAAGAUAGCUACCCUAAAUCCCUCAAUGAUAGGUCAACGUAAGGGUCUGACAUAAAUAUAAAUUCGACAUGAGAGCAUAAUUUCUUAUUCACAAUGUACGUUAGGCCCAUGGCAAUGUUACAUAAGUAGGGAAAAGGUAACAACAUCAUCAUUAACAUUGAUGAGAAAUAAAAUGAUAGUUCCCAUGUACAUUGAUGAGAAAUAAAAUGAUAGUUCCCAUGUACAGAAAUAGACUACCAAAAGUAAACUAGAGGAUGUAGAAGACGCCAAGCAUGUACCAUCCACUUUGAACACAAUUUGAUCUAAAAUAACCAAGUAAGUUUCCCUUAAGGAGGUUGAGUACAAUUUCUAUGAAAUUACACCUUGUAAGUAUCAUUGGUACCUCACAAAGAGGUUUUGAGCAAUGUCUUUAAAACUUUAGGAUGUAGUGUAAAAUAAUGUAUUAGGAAUUUUCAUAUGCACUGAAUGAAGCUUUAGGCAAUUCAUGUGAGAAAUGACACAAGGCAUGAAAUGCCGAAAUGUUGUUCAGCUGGAAGAGUGGAUACAAGACAAGAAAGUACCUGAUGUGGAAUAUCACUCCUCUUGCGUUGAUGUGGAUCAUUUGGAGAAUAAUAAAUAAGAGAACUUUUGAAGGGGGUGAAGAUGAACUUUGCUCAAAUAAGGACUAGCCUCCGUUCUCUUAUAGUUUUUUGGUGCACCCAUGUAUAUCUAGUUUGUAUAGAAGAUUGGGUGUCUUUCGGGGCGGACCAUAUUUUGUUGGUUUUUCCUUUUUGGUAUGCCUCUUGUGUAUGACCAAGUUUGGCCUUCUUUUUAUAAAUGAAAACUUGAUUUGAUUAAAAUAAAGGUGAGAAUUGGCAUAAUUUAGGUCGAAGAGUAAUUUAACAAUUUCUUCUUUUAAGUUCCCAAGUUUCUCUAGACACUAACAUUAUCAUAUCACCAUGCGAAGUAUCAUGGCAGACAAUUGACACCUGAUUGUCAAGCCAGCCUCAUUGUAUGUGCUUAAUGGGUCAACUCUUUGAGAGGCUAACAAUCUAAAUGACCCUUUAUUUUAUGUAACCAUUUGGUUUAACUACUAGCCUACACCGGUAUGUAAAGUUCAAGAGAAAUAUUUCACCUUUUGGAAAUGAGUGCCCUCUCAAUCAUUUUAAUGUUCUACCAAAAACUCUAAACAUUGUCAUUUGACCAUUCUUUUGGCCCAGAAGUCAUCAGGAGUUUGGCAUAAUUUUAGUACAUAAAUAUAACAACAAUAACAACAUAUCGAUUAUAACCCCACAAAGUGAGGUCAAUGGAGGCUAAAGUAUAUGCAGACCUUACCACUACUUUGGAGGUAAAGGUUGUUUCCAAUGGACCAUAAAUUUUGAAUCAAACUGAAUCAUUGCUACAAUGUUAUCUUGAAAGCAAUUUAGUACCUUCAAAAUUAAGUCAAACAUUUGAACAUGAAAUGUCCUUAUUUAAUCUCAUUGAGAUUUCUCAAGUCAUUAUAAACUCAUUAUUGUGCUAUCUCUAAUUUCAAGGCAAUCAAUCAGCCAGCAUAUAGAAUAUAAGAAAUUAGAGCAUAUGCUAUCAUAAUUAUUUCAAACAUGGAAUGCACACCUUGUUCGUUCAUUACAUUUGGGGUGGUAGACAACAUUGGAUCUUUCUCUUGGGUUUUGAAUUACAGGGUUAAGACUUUCCCGAUGAACUAUCUUGGAUUGUCGCCAGAUGCUUUGAACAAGGAUCAAAGAGAGUGUAUUUGGUUCUUGAGAGGGUCGAGAAGAGAUUAUGGGGAAGAAGAAGUCCUAAAGAGGGGAAAUAAAUGCUUAUUAUGAGCACAUUAUCGAUCAUUCCCAGUUACUUCUUGUCUUUGUUUCAUGCUCUAGCUUCGAUCAAAGGGAAGUUGGAAGAUAUCCAAAGAAAUUUUCUUUGUCGGGGCGGAUGAGGCAAAGAAGUAUCACUUGGUUAGAUGGGUGACGUUCACAUCUCCAAAAAAGAAAAUGGGGAGGGCUUGGUAUUGAAGACUUAAGGGUGAUUAAUGAGGCCUUUCUUGGUAAAUGGCUAAGAAGAUUCGAGGUGGAGGUAAAUGGUGUUUGGAGAAGGGGUGAUAGUUGAUAAAUUCGAGACGGUGGGAGGUGAUUGGAGAAACGAGGCAAUUUAAGACGAUUGGAGAACUAGAGAUGUGGCUAUGCCCUUUGGGUGGUUUGUGGAGAAAUAUCAUGAAUGGAUGGGAUGAUUUCGAAGUAAAUAUCUCAAUGAAGGUAGGAGAUGGAAGGAGGGUCAACUUUUGGGGAUAAAAGUGGUGCAGGGAUACUCUAUUCAAAGAUGUCUUUCUAAGCUUACUCAUAAUAUCUUGCCAAAGUAACUUGACGAUACUACAAAUUGGGGGGUCAUAAGUUGGAGAGACUUUUUGGGACUUGAGAUUUAGGAGGAAGUUCCACGACUAGGAGAUGGCCAAGUUGCAAUGAUUGUAUACACAAGUAAUAGCGGUUGAUAAUUCCAAUACUAAUGGUUGAGGAUAGGGAAGAAUAAGUUCUCCAUUAUAUCUUAUAAUGAGAAACUUUUCGUCAGAGAAGAGGAAGUUUUUCCUUGUCAAUCAAUUUGGAUAACUAAGGUGUCAAGGACGGUGUGUUUUUCACUUGUCUAGCUACUAGAGGGGAGAUCUUGUUUUUUCUGAACGGUAACAUUUUUGUGUAUUAAUAGCAAACUACAGAAAGGGUGUAUAGUCCCCCAUAUUUACAGUCAGAUGUGUAAAAAAUUAAGCGGCAGAAAAUGUAAGAAAGCCGAACACUGUUUUCCUUAGUUGGUAUGAAAUUUCAAGGAGGUGGGAGAGAACAUGGAUCUUCUACUUCUUCUUCAUUGUAGUCAUGGUGGGAUAUGAUUGGGUAGUUUGGUAAUUCUGGGGCAAUGCUAAGAACUAUGUUAUACAGUUGGAAGAGUGAGUGAAGGAGGAAAAGACGUAGAUCAUGGAGCUUGGUUCUUUUAAAGUUAAUGUGGGUAGAGAGAGAAAUAUGAGAUCUCUUUGAAGGGGAUAGAGUCGAGAUUUUCUCCACUGAGAAGUAGCCUUUGGUCCCUUCUUUUUUGGGUGCACCCAUGGAGUUCUCAAUCGUAUAGAAGAUCUGGUGGAGUUUGCAGACAAUCAUCUCUUUUUGUAGACUAUUACCUUUUGGCAUAUUACUUGCAAAUAGCCAGGCCUCUGAUAAUGUUUAUAUAUGGAAGUACGUUUACUUGAUAAAAAGAAUUGAUUGUUUGUUGUUAUGAAAUUACACAAACAGUUAUAUAAGCUUCCAUUCGUGCAAGUUUAGCAAAAUCGUCUUAAAAGGAAAUUACAUGUUAACUUACAUUGCAAUAGCCUUCCGAACAAGCUCAACAACACUCCCCACAACCCAUUCAAUUCAAUCUACACAAUUAUAAUUGAUUUCUACCAAGUUGAGUUUACUGGGAUUCUUUUCAACUCAUUUAGAGUUUACAAAGUGGUUGCAAGCCUUCUUCCAAUCCAAUUCAAGUUUUUCAUAAUCACACUUGAUAAUUCAACACCCAAAAAUUAUUAAGCUAUUAGAAUCAUUAGAAAUAUUCAACUAUAAAGUACUAUUCGUCUUCUUCAACCAACACACAACAACCUCAAUUAAUGAUAGAACCUAGGCUUCAUUUAUUACAACUUUCCAACCAUCAAUAAACACCAUGAUAUCAUUUACCUUUAUAAUAGCCAUAAUAAAUGAACUUGGAGUGGUGUAAUCACCUUAGUAGACCAAAUCUUGAAAACCAAACUUUUGGGUGUUUUUGACCAACUUGAAGAUUUCAGAAGAAAUCUAUAGAUUCGAGCUUGAAUGAUGUUAUUACAAGUGUUUAACAGUAGUAUUUAUAGGCCUGUAUCAGUCAGGGUGCAUGCCUUUUACGCUAAAGCGCAAGUAUCUAGUUCUCGCAACUUUUAGGUCAACUUUUCCCGCUUAUUUACGCUUUAGCGCUGCCCAUUGACUACAUUACUACCCUUCGGUGAAGGCAUAAUUUUUUGUAGGUAUGUCAAAAAUGAUAUGGUGUCAACCAUCGGAGUCUAGUCUUCGAGGGCUACAAUUUUAAUGUGUUACUCACAGCCUAGUUUCUUAGAUAUUGGGAGAAGUCUUUGUUUAAAGUUAGACCUUGGGCAACUUCUUCCAUAUUUUGUUUCUGUUGACCUUUCUACCCCUCCAAAUCCCCAACACACAUCAUAUUUUGUUGACACGUUCCAAGGAUUUACUAGCCUUAUGUGGGUCUCAGACACUUCAGAGCUAUCUUAAGUACUUUGUUAACAUUUUUAGUUGGCGUGAAUAAACCUCCAAAACUUACGGGGCAUUACACCAUCUCCUAAGAGCCUGCAGCUUUUAAGUAGCGGUGAAUUAUACUAUUUGAGAUGCUUUAGGCAGUGCUCUUGGUUUGGAUGUUCCUGUUCUGCAUAUGUACAUCACCUAGCCUUAAGUAUUUCUGUGAGUGAUUUGGUUGUAUGACAUUAGAAGCUAAAACUCAGGUAUGAUAUUCUCAUCCAUUUUUCUUGGGUUUGUAAUGUGCCUUGUCAUGUAAUAGUAUGUAUGUGUAUGCAAACAUUUUCAUGAUUAUAAGAGUGGUCAUAGUCUCAAGGUAUGUCGAGGCUGAAUUAUCCAGUCUUUUGCAUUUUGCAGUUAUUUGAUUUAUAAUCCACUGCAUAGCUUGAAACCAUAUCUGCGAUUAAAUUUUUGUAAAGUGUGAUAGUAAAUUAACUUUAACAAUGUGGGAACUGUGGGAAUGAAUUUAAUUCAUGAAAAACUGAAAAAGAUUUCAUCUAUACAAAUAAAGUUCAUCAGUUCCAGUGCUACAACUUAACGUGCCUGCUUCAUGAUUCCUAUCAUCUUUUCAGUAGACAGACUUCUCUUUAGAGAGUGACUUGGUUAGUAUGUCUGUUAACUAUUUAUAUGUUGUGCAAUGCUCAAGUUAAAAUAGACCAUUUUCAUAAACUUCUAAGCUGAAGUUGUAUUUUAUGAUUAUGUGCUUUCUUCUAUCGUGAUUACUUUGGUCUCCAAUUAUGACUGUGGAAGAUUUGUUCUUACCAUGGAUCACACUUCGUUCUGCGUCUUUAUACGCAAUAUAUUUACUUAGACAAAUAACUCAUGGAUUUUUUAAAAUAGAAAUAUCUUCUGUUUCAGAGAAUAAUUAGCAACAAUCUUUACAUUUAUUUUUUGAUAACCAAGAAAAUAUUCCUCAUCAAAGUGCAAGUAAAAUCUUGGAAGUGCUUUUCACAUCAUCCUAACUUCCAUCCCAAUCUCUGUCUGCGUAACUAAUCAAGCUAACAUCAUCUGCACACAAUAUGUAUUCCAUGGUCGAGAACUUUCAAGUAUCUAAUGAAUUUCACUUGGUUCUGACAUGAAUGUUGACAGCAAAGUUGUUGCAAAUGCUACGUAAGUUUUUGUAGUAAUAAGGUAUAACAACUUGUCUAUCAGGCUUCUAUAUUGAAGUAACUGAUCUUUUCACAUUAUUUUCUUUCUAUUGUCAUUCAGUUCCUGUGGGAUAUCCGCUGCUUGCAGUUCUCCGUUUUGAAUUGAUUAAGGAUAUUGAUUCAUAUUCCUAUCAGAAUGAAUAUCUUCCUUUAUUUGACACACUUCAAUCUCUUGAAAAAAUAAUGCAGGAUUCACGUAUCUGUCCUCUCAUUAGUUCUCCCCCUGUCGCAUUUGCAUUCAUUCAUGGGGCUGGAUUUUUUACUGAAAGUCAAUCAUCUACAUAGAUGCAGAGUAUAAGCACCUAAAUCCUGUUGAUCAAAACAUUAAACUUGUGUUCAGAUUUACUUUAUGGGAAGCCUUGGGGAGAAUGAGAAAACAAUUAUUUUCAUUGUAUCAACAUUUAGGAGCUUCUUUUAACCCAUUGCCCUAAUCAACCUACAAAAACUAUUUCUUUUGUAAGAAACGAACUCUAUACUCUCCUCUCACUUACAAACCAUGAGAUUGGUCAACAUAAAUUUUCUUAUUGGAUUUUUUUUUAGAUAAUUAAUUUCCUCACAAAUUCCUAGAAACAUGGUUCUUUUUAAAUGGAACUAAGAUCAAGUUGAGAAGUCUACCAUUUAUUUUGAGUAGCAAUAAAUCAACAAUAGAAUGGCUUCUAUCUGCAAUAGGUGAGAAUGUCAAUAGCAAAGUGCUCUAUAUUUCCAGGAAUUCUCCUGCCACCAGCCUUGCUUUAUUUUCUGCAAAGAGUCAUUUAAUCUAACUAUAUUUUGAAUAUCCAUCAAAGCACACUCAUAUUCUUCCUUAAGGUAGAUAAACCACCUUAAUUUUUGUUCUGGUAAAUUAUGUGUCCCUUUGCAUUGCCUCCUUUAGUAGUAGGGCUUCUUCUUUCACUACUUCUGGCACAUUUCUGGUGGUUCAAUUGUUAUAAAAGUUUGAAAACUUUAUAUUUCGCUCGGACUCUUUCCUUUUUGGAGGAGAAGUUGAAACUUGUUGGGUAUUCUGCGAUUGGAUUGGAAUUUGAAGUUCGAGAGAAAUAAUGAUGUUUCUUCAACUUUUGCUUCCUUGCUUGACCUGACCUGCGCGUUACAUCAAAUUCUAAUUAUCAUGCUCAUGGAAAAAUGACUUUAUUGUUAACAACAGGUUUCUAGCAUCAAUAUUUAGCAAGAAAUAUUUUAGUUUCACAAAACUAUAGUUACAACUUAACAGAAAGAAUCUUCAGUUUCCCAUCAAAUUUGCUACUUUUUGUCAAUAUGAUUAUGAGCAUAACAUAUGCUGUGAAAAACUUUAUAAAAUAAAAUAAAAACAAAUGUGUAGAAAAUUCUAAGAUGAAUUACAUAUGCUUUCACUCCACUCUGGCUUUUGGAAUCUCUUUUGUCAUAACUUUGGUAGGACAAUGAUUCAGGAUGUAGACUGUUGUGUUUGCAAUCUACUGCAGGAAUUGUUAAGCCUUUCUAAUUCAAUAUAGGUACCUCUAGGUAGGGUACCGAGUCGUUCCAGCUUGAGAUUUUGCUUGGCUCAGUUUCAGUCAAAGAUUAGCUUAAUUUAUCUCCGUCUAGGUCAGAAUGCAGCUAGGCGCAGUGACUGUUCUUGGUCAUGCUGGGGCUCAACCAAGUAAACUAGGCUCGAAUUUAUAUAGCCAAGUUGAGCUCAAUCAAAAUUUUAAUCACAUUAUAACUUGAGCCUACUUUAUGAUUGAGGUGAAAUAUAAUUACUUAUAAAAUACUGAUGAAGGUGAAAUUGUUAAAAUCUUGAAGUGAGAAUUCUAAAUUAAUGAGUCAACUUAUUACAAAACUUUUUGAAUUUAUUACUAAUUUAUUUUUUGCUUGGAAGUUAAGUUUUGUGUUUAAUUGAGGUUGUUUGAGUUUGAGCACUAUAUAUAAACUAGUAUCUUGUAGAAUUCAAUGACAUGAAUUCUAAUAUCAAAUUAAACUAUAAAUCUUGUACUUCUUAGUUCUUAUGUCCCAUUUCAUGUGGAAAACUUUCCUUUCUGUUUUCCGGAAAAGAAUUGACACAUAUUUGUAUUUGAAGGUAGUUUAACUUUAAACUUCCCAUUCUAGCCUUAAUCACAUGAUUUUAUAGCCAUAUGCAUGCCUUGACAUGUUUGAGGCUACAAGUUUUAAAAGGCAGUCUUUGUUUCUUAAACUUCGUACCAGUCAAACACCCUUACAUAGAAUAAGACAAUAAGACAGAAGGAAUGCACCUUUCUAUAAAUCCAUCUAUUCUGAAAGUAAUUUUUCUUUUCUUUUCUUUUUUAAGAAAACAAUUGUAAAAGUAAAUUUUCCUAAAGUAGUGCUGCACCGAAGCAAAAGUUAUAGUCAACUUAGACUUUGUUUUUUUGAUGAAGAAAUUUCAUAUAAAAGGCAUCAAGAAGAUGCAGUAAGGUACAAAAGAGGGAAGGAGAAGUCAACUCGGUACAAAAAGUGCUAAGCUAGAGCAAAGAGCUGACACUAAUUUCAAUUAAAUUUUAACUAUGUUUUCCCCUUAAAAGUUGAAGAUUUGUUUUGAAGCCUUGAAGGUCCUGAGGGCUAAACUUUCUCAAUUCCUCAUAAAUUCUCCAUAUUUUCACCAUCAAAAGCUACUCAUGAUCACAUACAAAGCUUGUAUAAAAGAUUAGAGUCAUUACCUUGAUGCUUUGGAAUGAAAUCUCUAUUGUUCACCUCCUCUUUACCUCUCUUUUUCUCCUUUUUUUUUUCUCUCUGCGCAUAACUUCUUUGUUUUUGCUUCUGUUAUUUUAUUACCCUCAUUAGAGCUGCUAUUUCUGUCAGAUUUUGAUUCUCUUCUUUUCUUGGUCUUGAUCAGCUUGUUUGUUUUUUCCUUGUUUAAUUAUAUUUUCCAUCUCUCAUAAUCAAAAGACUAUUACUCAAUUUAAAUAUUGGGGUUAUUACAAAUUGGGGAAAAGACUAGAGGUGGAUUAGUGUAGAGAAAUGUUCUAUUUUUACUCCGAGAUAUGACGGGAGGCACUUGAGCCAAGAUCUGUGAGCCAAAAAGUGAAGGUAUGUAGCCUAACAUGAGUGGAUUUCCUGGUUGACCUAUAAUAGUAGUAGAUGAUGAUGAUGAUGAUCAUUGUCGUGUAACUAUUUGAUGCUAUAUAUAUUCAUCUUACUAGCUUGGAUCAAGUAAUAGAGUGAGUAGAGGUAGAACAUAUUCUUCAAUUCCCUGCUAUUUUACAGAAAUUGAUGAGUAAGGAUGAUUUUGAUUAGGAAAGAUGAGAUUCAACAGAGGUGUUGAGCUAGAAUGCAACAAGGCCUAGCUGACCUGGGUGAACUAGCUACUGUGUAGAAAAGCUUCGGUUGAACCAUGUAGGAUGACUUUGACUAGGAAAGAAGAUUUAACAAAGGAAGUUGAGCUAGAAUGCAAUAAGCGGCCUAGGCGACCUUGGUGAACAGGUUACCGCUUAGUAAUGGUUGCUAGACAAGUUUCAGGCAUUGGAAUGUGAGUCAUCAAUGAGAAGAAGUGGCAUGUGAGUCGAGGCGAGACAAAAGAGAAGUUGUGUCAUGUGUGCCGAAACUGGUGAUUUUGAGCUAGAGUGCAACAAAAGGCCUUGGCGACCUUAGUGAACAGGUCACUGUCUAGAUCUGUAGUUACAUAAUUAAGAAUAUUCACAAUUAUGAUUAGCAUAUCACAUAACAUUUAAUAAAUAUACCCCAGGAGCAUGCCUUCAAAUUGAAUAUAUAUGAGAGCUUCAUAUAGAAAAUGGCUUGGAAAGCUGUACAAUUUAAGAAACAAGAAAAAACUUCUUUGCAUAUCAGUAUGUCUUUACAUCCCAUGAGAAGCGGUAUUUAUACAUGUGAAUCCUAACUGGUUAUGGAAAGACAAUCAGUUAUAAUAAAAGAAAAUAUUAUAUUCAUGUAGUUACGCUAGGAAAAAGGAAAUAAAGUCUCCUAAAAUUAUGCUAAUUAAUCAACACAAUCAAUACUCCCCCUCAAGUUGGAGCAAGGAUAUUGUACUUUCCCAACUUGCAAACCGAAGUAUGAAAAAUCUUUUUGCUGAGCCUUUUAUAUGCACAUCCGUGAUUUAAUUCUUGAUGGCACAUGAAGAAAACUCAAAGUGCCACUAGUAACUUUCUCUUUGAUGAUCUGCCAAUCAAUUUCAAUAUGUUUUGUUUGGUUGUUUUGAACAUGAUUCUGAGCUAUACUAAUUGCACCUUUGUUGUUGCAGUGCAAGGAAAGUUUCCCCUUUUUAGAUAAUCUCAAUUCUUCCAGUAACUUUUGUAGCGAAAGAAGCUUACAAACACUUGAUCUUGCAGCUUCACUUUGCUUCUUACUUCUCCAAGUAACUAGAUUCUCUCCGAUGAGUGUACGUUAACCGGAUGUUCUUUUGCCAUCUCAAGAUCCAACCCAAUUCACAUCUUUAACAGCUUCUCUGUGGAGGUGACCUUGUUUAGAGAAAAGCAAACCUUUCCCCUGAGUGAACUUUAGUUACCAUAAAAUGUGAAAGACUACUUUCUUAUGAGGUUCUCAGGGAUCAUGCGUGAACUGGCUCACCAAGCUAACAAAAUAGGUCGGUGGAUCUAGUUUGAGAUAGAUAAAUGAGUCUCCCAACCAACCUCAGAGAGUGAAAUGAGAAGAGUGAGUUUACCCUUUUAAUGUCUUAUUCUUUUUGAGACAAGUAACAGUUCUAUUCAAUAAAAACUUAGCCACCCCAGAGAAAGGUGCUAAGUUGGAAACUUUACAAGCAUCGAAGAGGUACUUAAACCCUGCCCAAACCCUAUAAAAUUAUAUAUUUCCAAUUUAAUAUACUUGGUCUCCUACUUCCCCCACAUAUUCUGUCUACACCAGAAAAGAACAAGCUAAGACAAUUCAUCCUAAUUUUCUCGAUAGAACUGCUAGUGCCUUCAAAUGUCUACCAUUCCUUUCCUUCCACACUGUCCUCCAAAUGAAAGCAGGAAUGAUCUUCCACCAGUCCUCCUCCCCACCUCUAUUCCGAUACUCCACCAAUUGUUCAGCAAUGCCAAAGUAGAACAAGGUGUUACUCAAGUUAUUCCCAAAAUACAAAAGAACUUGUGCCACAGAUUUAUAGUUGUCCGUGUAGGAAUAAGUGUUCAUAGAUUUUCACCUUCCUCUUCACACAGAAGACAUCUUGAAAAAAUCUGAAGACCUCUUCUUUGUAGCUUAUCUUGAGUUAGGCAAGCUGUCCUAAUCACCAACCAGACAAAGAAUGACACCUUCAUAGGGAUAUUCACUUUCCAGACUUGUUUGCAAGGCCAAUUUUCAUUUAAAGAUCUCUUUGAUUUAACAGCCGGUACACUAAUUUUACUAAGAACGCCCCUUUACUGUUUAGUUUCCACUUGAGCCUGUCAGUAGAAUCUGUGCAUCCACCAAAAGUUCGCAAUAUCUGAAGCAUUGUGAUGAAACUCUCUACUUCCCAGUCAUUGAGAGCUCUUCUAAAGAAGUUGUGAUUGGCAUUUUUUUGCUGGUAAUCAAAAGAGAUCAUCGCUUUUGAGAAACCAAGCUCUAUGAAUUUGCUUAAAUCCAUACAUGGAUUUCUUCGAUCUAUGCACCUUUCCCUGACUCUAUUCAAUAUCAUAUCCAGAGGAGUUUCUCUAUAUAUAUACCUCUUCCUCUAUAUCUGUAUGAAGGAAUGUAUUCUUCACAUCAACUGGUACAAGUUCCAAUGAGGAUUAGCUGCACAUGACAAAAGAAUUCUGAUAGUGUUCAUCCUUACAACUUGCUAAUUGUCUCCUGAUAGUCAACUCCAUAAGUUUGAGUGAUUCCCUUAGCCACUAAUCUUGCUUUGGAUCUUUCAUUCGAACCAUUAGCUUUAUGUUUCACAGUGAGAAUCCAUUAGCAGCCAAACUACUUUUUGUCCGGUGGUGAAGUAACAAGUUCCCAAAUCUCGUUUUCCAAUAAGGUCUUCAUUUUUCAAUCAGAUCUUGCUUCCAUUUAAGACCUGUAAAAGCUUCCAGUAAUUAUGGGAAAUAGACACUGAAGAAAUAGACAAGUCUAUUGCUAUAUUUAUGCUAGAAAAAGCAAAAACAAAGUCUCCUCAAACUGUGCCUAGUUAAUUUACAUAAUCAACAAAAGGAAAUGUCGAUUCUGAUUUUUCAAAGCUGUCUUUUUUGCAUAGAACUAUCCUAUGUAUUUAUUGGCUCAUUGAGUUUUUCACUUUAACGGCAAUUGGUUCUCUUCUUGACUGAAGACUACAACAAUCCCAUAUUAGAAGCAUCACAUUUAACUUCAAAAACAAAUUUGAAUUUGGUAGAGAAAGAAUAGGUUCAUCGGUCAUUUUUUCUUGAUGAGCUCAAUCUUCUGUGUCCUAACCACCCAAAAGAUUCCACCUUUUAAACAUGCAGUAGUAAGAGAGAAUUGUGUUGAAAUUUUUGAUUAACUUCCUGCAAAAGAAGCAAGGCCUAAAAUGUUUAAGAGGUUUUUUUUGUAUUGAGAGGAGAAAUAGAGAACAUGCAAAAUGACUUUUCACUUAUUGGUUGAAAGAUCUGUUUCCCUAAUUAGUCCAAUGGAAGUAGUAGCUGAUGGCACCGUUAGGACUAAAGUAAAAACAUAGUUUGAAGUUGAAAAUUUAAACGUGUUGCUGUUGUUUUUUUUUCCUUUCACAUCAAAGGUAAAUCGUGAUAAUUUUCAUUACCUGAUGUCUAGUCUUUCAGAGCAUGUCAUUUAUGGUGUAUUUUCAAUGUGGAGAAUAUGUUGAGUGUACCUAUCUCAAUAUAAUGGAUAUAUCAAGGAUAUAUUACUUGUUAUAACUCAGAAAUGUCGUAGGAGAGAGAGAUCUGCGUUUAGGAGUUAAGCUUAUUCCAUUCAAGACAAGUAACUACUCAAAUGCAAUGUUGCUUGGACUCUUUAAAAAUAUCAUUUGGUGUUAUCGGAUCCUCCAGAAGUAGUGCGUUUUUGGAGGAUCCAAAAUGGAUACAACAAUAUUUUUGGAGAGUCCAAGCCACAACUUGAACGGGAUCACGGAGAUUUGAAGAGGAUUUCUAAGGGAGAAUCUUUGUAUUGUAUCAGCGCCAAGUCCAUUCCUGUUUGAACUCCCAAUCCACACUCUAGUUGUACUUGGGCGUGAUUAAUUGGGGAAUGGACAUGUGUUUUGCUUAUAUGGACUUGGGCAAUCCUCUCCUUGUGAGCUAGCUUUUGAGGUUGAGUUAGACUGAAGUUCCAUAUCUGUAAGUGUAUCAGAGUGAGGGCUCCAUCCCUGUUUGGGCGUUCGGUCCAUGCUUUAGUUGAGCCUAACCGUGAAGGGGAGUUGCAGAGUAGGUUAGAGUCCCAUAUCAAUUGGGAAUGACUGGUGGUCUGGUUUGUUUGUAUGAAUGUGGAUAGUCCUUCCUUCGCGAGCUAGUUUUUUGGAUUGAGUUAGGUCCAAAUGUCAUGUCUUUACACCUAUCAUACAUCAUCAUAAUAAGAGCUUUUAAGUUGCCCAAUGUCAACAUUUAUGAUCAAGACUACAUGCUAAAGUAAUCUUUACAUCAUGGCACUUAGACCAAACAUACAUAUUCUACUCCCACAGGGUUAUUGCAGAGCUUCCGUGUUUCUUUUAUUGCACUUGUCCCUAUAAAGUAAGGUGCAAUAGAACUUAAAAAUCUAACACCUAUUAGCCUUAUUGGUAGUGCUUACAAGAUCCUGGCGGAAGUGCUUGUUGAAAGGCUUAAGAAUGUGAUUGGAGGUCUCGUCUGUGGUUUUUAGAAUGCCUUUGUUCAAGGAAGGAAAAUCUCUUAUGCAACUCUUAUUGCCAAUGAUGUUUUGGGCUGGAAACAGAAAAGUGGUACCUAUGGUCUUCUUUUUAAGCUUGAUAUAGAGAAAGCUUUUGAUAAGCUGAACUGGUCAUUCCUUAUCUCAAUCCUAAGGCAGAUGGGGUUUGGAGAAAGGUGGAUUAUAUGGUACAAAUAUAGUGUCUCCAUAGUAAAGUAUCUAUAUUGGUAUAUAGAAGUCUUGUGGGCUUUUUCUUAUGAGAGGCAUUAAGCAAGUGAUUCCCUUUCACCCUUCUUAUUACCUCCCGACUCUGGAGGGGUCAAGUAAGAUAUUAGAAAAGACCAAACAAUCACAUUGGCUAGUAGGAUUUAUGGUGGGCAAUGGUUUUGUUUGAAGUUUCUAAUCAUAUUUCUUGUUUGGUGACGACACACUUAUCUUCUACGAAGCUCAGAAAUCCCAAGUGCAGUACCUUAACCUGACUCUUAUGCCUUUUGAAGCCAUGUCAGGACUCAACAUUAACAUGUCUAAAAGUAUUAUCUACCUUUUAUGAGGUCCCUGACUUGUAGAAUUUGGCAGGCCUCGUGUAUUGCUAAAUUGGUUCUUUGGGGUUACCAUUGGGGGCUAGUUGCAAAUUUGUUGGGUCAAUCAAAGUAACCAAAAUUGAUUGACUAUUUGGUAUAGAUUCCAAACCCACGUCAUAUCGACACGGGUGUGACACCGAAAGUAAGGAGUCCAUUUAACUUAGUUAGAGAGUGAGUACAUAAAGUAUUCAAUAAGUUUGAUACUCCUCCCUCUAAAGGAUGGUACACGCCUUUAAGAAAACAUACAUAACAUUUAUAAAUCAUUUACUUCAUAAAUCUAUCACUUAGAGCAGUCAUUUGUGUUGUAAAGAACAUUUAGCAUCCCAGACUUAACCAUGAGUUUUCAGAUCAUGUGCAUGUUAUAGAACACCUUCAUAGGGCUCAUUUGAAACAUAACAGAUGUCAUAGUUGUUAUAACAAGUCCUUCUUUGUUCACGAGAGCCAUCAUUUCUUACAAUCAUUCCACCCACGAAGGCCAUACUUUCAUAUGAUCAAUGGGUCAUCAUACCUUUUUGUAAUUUACCUCUGAGGGGUUAGGUUCUUGAUACUUCAUCCAUGACGACCAUACUUGCUCAUAUUCAUGUUUCACUCACGAGGGCAAUACAUAUUCAAUUCAAUAUCACAAUGUGGCUUAACAUGUAUCACUUCAUUCUAUUGUUCAUAAACACUUCAUUUAAACAUUUUUACCUCCUUUUAUAUUUGUUGCCUCCCUCCCUAUGAGCUCCCAUAUUUUUUACUCCCUUGAACUCGAACCCACAACCUUAGGGUUGGAGGUGGAGGGUGUUUAUCAUCUCAACAAACCUCUCUUGCCACUUCACUGGUGUUUAUCAGGGCUGGAUAUCUGUCGCAUGAGCAAAUUAAUAUAGGGGCCCAACAUCGUCAAACAAGAAUUGCGAUGAGCCCUACUCUGUUCAACAUGUAAAUAAAUGAAUCUUGGGCCUAACUCAACCCCCACAAUUUAGCUCUUGGGGUUGAGUUAGGCUCAAGAUUCAUUUCUUUAGAACAUUUUGUGCCUCAUUUUGGGUAGCACAAUUAAUAUUAAUGCAUUCACCAACCUUACAUUUAUUUUGUUCUCAUUUUUAAGCAUUCAUAUACAUUUUUAUUCAUAAUAUUGAGUGCAUAAGCUGAAAAGAGCUCAAAGCAUAGUAAUAUGUCUCUUCAUAGCAUAACACAACUACAAACACAAUUUCAUAUGGUGAAACUUACAUAUAUUGGUCCCCACACACACAUCCACAUUAAAAUUUGAAAUCACAUUCAUCAUAAAAACAUUUAAAUCAUGUCAAAAAGGCGGAAAAGGAACAGCUCGUAUGGGGUUUAUAAUGGAUUUGCAUUUUGUCUUAAUCGUGAAGUCUAGUUCUUCUUUCCUUGUUCUCUUUUUACCAUUUGGUCUUUUGGGGGAAUACCAGUGACGAGGGUUAAAUAGGAUACAGUUGGCAUUUAACAUCACUUCUAUAUGACUUCUAAUAUUGAAAGUUAAUGACUGCUGAGAUUCCUAAAAUGACUGUUAGAGGGGAGGUAUGUAUUUCCAAUUUAGAGGUGAGGUCUAUUUAGUUGCACUAAUUACAAGAAGUAAAAAUACUUGGCUGUUUUCCACUGUUUUCUGGUUGCUAUUUGAUUCAUCUGAAGCAUUUAAAUCUGAAAAAGAGAAUCUACAAAGUAAAUAGACUAUCAAAGACGAUAAGAUGAAAAUGCUUUUUAGAUGCACACUCGUAAAAGGGUGAUUUAGAGUCUGCAACUCAUGGACAUGAUUGGAAGCUUCAAAUGAAGACAAUGACAGAGAAUUGGCUAUUUUAGGCAUUUAAGUUUUAUGACUUCACAAUAUGCAGACUAUAAGAUCCCGUGGUGAGAGGUCAUUACAUGAGCAGUUUCAGCACCUUUUGUACCACUCGUAGUGACUUUCUGUAGAGACAUCCAGCUCCUAGUACUAGUCUCUGUUUUACUUUGGCAGCUAUACCAGGCCUGUGAGAAUUUAGCUAUUGGCAUGUAGUUAAGAUAGAUCUAUUCGAUAGAAUGUCCAGAUGAUUCAGCUAUAUGCAAUUCCAAUGAUCAAUUAACCCUGAUUGCUCCUCUUUUCAUGUUGAAAUUGUCUUAUAACCAUUGUGCUAAGUAACUAGUCUGUGGACUGACAUUUUAGUUUCCUAAUCUGGUCCAGUUAGAAAAGGAGGCUCUUACAAAGGGGGUCCCAACAAGUCAAGCACUUGACAUUGAAAUUCCUCCUCCACGACCUAAAAGGAAACCAAGUAAUCCUUAUCCUCGUAAGACAAGCGCAGCAGGUCACUCAUCACAGGUGGGAGCAAAAGAUGGGAAAUAUUCGACAACUUUUUCUUCCAUCUGUGAGGAAAGGAACUUAUUUGACCUGGAGAAAGAACCGAUUACUGAGGUAUGGGUUUCUCUUGAUCUUGCACAUCUUUUACUUUGUUUUCUUUAAAGGCCUAGUUGUAUUCUUGUUCUUUAUCAGAAACCUGGCGGAAACGAGAAGCUGGGCAAUGUAAAAGAAACCCAGAACAAGAAAAACUGCUCCCAAGGGUUAACUAAGGAAGGUGCUUCUGCAGCCUCUAUGUCUUCAGGAAAGUCCUUGCAAGCACAUGUGGCACCUACAGAUGUGUGUGCCUUUAGUGAGUCUGUGUCUGUCACCAAAGGAGUGGUUAACAAUGAUAACGCAAAUAAAUCUUUUCUCAUUGUUGAAUCCAAAGAACAUCAACAGUCAGAAAUACUCGAUAUCAGACAGUCCUUUCAAGGUAACAGCUCCUGUAACACCUUUGACGGGGGGAAAUCUUGCCAGUCGAGUGAAAAGUUGGCACAAGGUGAGAAAAAACAUCCAUCGUUUCAGCCAAACCAUUUGGGGGAAUUCUCAAGAAAUGAUAUGCAAGUGCUACACAACUAUCCAAGACAUGUGCCAGUGCAUAUUCUUGAUGGAACAAAUGGUUCUCAAAUAGCCCCAGAUAUGUUUAAUCAUGAAUCUACGAGUCAGCAGAUAAAUGGGGUCCCGGGGCUCCCAAAUUUGUAUUCUAACCCUGCUUCAUCCACCACAUCUGAGCACCACAGUAACGCUCCACAGUCAUCCAUUCAUCAGUCAUUUUCUUGUUUCCACCCCAUUUUCACCCCUAUUCGUGAUCCAGAUGAUUACCGAUCGUUUUUUCAAUUAUCCUCCACCUUCUCCAGCCUUAUUGUUUCUGCUUUAUUGCAAAACCCAGCAGCACAUGUCGCAGCAAGUUUUGCCGCUAGCUUUUGGCCUUAUGCAAAUAUGGAACGUCCAACGGAUUCUCCAACUGAUAACACCGCUAGCCAGAUUAACUCAGCUCCUAGUAUGGCAGCAAUUGCUGCUGCCACAGUAGCAGCUGCAACUGCAUGGUGGGCAGCCCAUGGGCUCUUACCAUUGUGCUCUCAAUUUCAAAGCAGUUUUACCUGUGUUCCUACAUCAGCAACAUCAAUGCAAGUGGAUGCCUGUCAACCUAGAGUAGACAAGAACGAAGGAAGAGAGGGAACUCAUGAUUCUCCCCAUGUUCAGGAACCUGUCCCAGAAUGCUCUGAAGCUUUGCAAGAACAACAAUCAGGUUCUAAGUUGCCACCUUCUCUAUCAUCAGAAUCGGAGGAGAGUGAAGGUAGGAAGCUAAAAACUGGGUUAACGGCCACUGAUACUGAGCAAGGAGCUGCAGUUACUAAAAUUAAUGAGCCAAACGCAGAAAAGGGCGGGAAGCAGGUAGAUCGCUCUUCCUGUGGAUCCAACACACCUUCAAGUAGUGAAAUUGAGACAGAUGCUUUGGAGAAGGAUGAGAAAGGUAAAGAAGAGCCCCAAGAAUCUAAUAUUAACCUUCUAGCUGGAGAGGCUGCGAAUCGGCGUUAUAGAAAUUUCAUCAGUCCAACCGAAUCUUGGAAAGAAGUCUCCGAAGAGGUAAUGAAGCUUUAGUUCUUGUAAGUCCUCCAGUGACCAUUUCUUGCUUUAAUGAAUAUUUUGCUUCCCACCUUUUGCUACAGGGACGGAUAGCUUUCCAGGCUCUUUUCACCAGAGAAGUGUUGCCUCAAAGUUUUUCUCCUUCACUUGAUCUGAAAAAUAAGGGAAAGAUCAUUCUUGAAAAGUUGAAGCAAAAGCCAGACGAGAAAGUUCAAUGUGGACCGCAGUUAGAUCUUAAUGAUAUGGCAUCCAAUAUCUGUUCCAGUCACCAAACAAUGGAAGACAAUGUGUUAUUAAUUGGCAACAAAGAAGAUGUAGAAACAUGCCUACCAAUGAUAGAACUUGGACAAGUAAGGUUGAAAGCUCGCCGUACUGGAUUUAAGCCUUACAAGAGGUGCUCAUUGGAGGCAAAUGAUAGCAGGGUGACAAGUUCUAACUGUCAGGAUGAAGAAAAAAGCUCGAAAAGACUUCGGUUGGAAGGAGAAGCUUCUACUUAGUGUUGUAUCAAUGUGCAAUUCUACGAGGGAACCUGUGUUGUUGCACGGAGAGCUCUAUUCUAUCCUGUUAUUAUCUUUUCCCAGUUACGUUGUCUAGUUCUAAUGUACACGAAACUUGUCGUGUAGGUGUGUACCAUAUUAUUUUUAUGUUCUCUUUUAAUUGGACUUGUAUGCAAGGGACUUUGAAGUAUGAACCUAAAUGUGGAUGUCUUCAACAAUCAUAGCAAAUUUAAUGGACCUUGAUUGGACCAGUUCCUCGGAAGCUUUUGUUUGUGUUUAUGUUGACGGUUUUUUAUGUGAAUUUGGCGGGUCGUAAGAAUCAAGUUAACAUAUUCCAUUGGUUUUCUCUCUCUCUAUAUAUAUAUAUAAAGAGCUUUAUCUCUUUCAAGGACAAAUAAAAGUAAAUAUUUUUAUACUGUAGAAGACCAGAAAAAGUGGAGCAUGUGGUUAUAUCUUAAAGAAACAAGUUUAUUCACAAUUAGAAAUACACCUAGCUUGGGAGGUAGGAUAUAUACAUGUGUGUGUGGAAUCUGUAUUGGAUGUCCUGCAAGGUUUGUACAUUCAAGUUCUAAAAAUUUAAGAGUCUCGUAGAGUGUUUUUUUGUAAAAAAAAUAAAUCUCGAAGAUAAUAUUACUAAAAUAUUCAUGGGCUAGCAAAUAUGGAGAGAAUACUUAGGAAUUAGACAUCCUUGUGUCAGACACAUAUCCAUAUGUAUCAGUCCAGUUUCAUGAUGAAGCAAUCACAAGUUCCCUGCUUGACAACAUUAUCAUAUCUACAAUACUAUAACCAUCAUAAUAAACUUAUCUAAGUCUGUUUCUAUUUUCAGAUUUUCUGGUUACCAGCUUCAAAUGUAGAUGACUCUCCUCUUAAUUAAGAAUUCCUCCUCAGAUAAACAAGAAAGUACCAUGCUUAAUGAACUUGAUUCAAGUAAAGACAAGCUUAAAAUACACUUUACACAAAUUUCAAAACUGUCCCAAUUGGGUAUAUAUGUGAUGUAGUCCUACUAAGAGCCGCCAAGAUGAAGUUAAUAAACAAUUCCUCACAUACGGAUCAUCUUCUCACUACACUGCUCAUUGACCAACAUUCAAAAUGUAUACUAGUGACCUAGACUCUAGAGAAAAAGAACCUAGAAGUUUAUAUCUUGCCCAUAUCAGCUUAUCUGCAUUAUACAUUCUACAUUCUGCCAUUUGCAUUCUCCAUUAUGAUUAUGCAACUGUUUCAAGUGAUGACCUUCCCAUUUAAAAGCUUAAGUUGUUACAGAGAUGGACCACUUUCUUGCAUAAUGCAGUGACACAGUAACACAGUGUUACUUCACAUGUGCAAAAUAUUACGAGGCUGUAAGUCAAUACUCAUACAAUUCUUUGAUUUGUUCAUCUAAGACUCUUAAUGUUUCAUAUAUGAGUCCUCUCAAUUGGUGAGAAUAGUCACUAGCGGCAAAUACACUUUUCUUCCUUUCCACUUCAAUCCAACUGCAACCAACUGGCUUCUUAAGAUCUCUCAUUUUCAUAGACCUCCUUAUCUCUAAGACGCCAUCCCAUCUAGCAUUUGCAGCAUACAGAUUUGACAUGACUAUAUAAUUCCCGAUAUCAUUAGCAUUAACUUGAAAAAGGUGAUCAGCCGCAGCACAGCCCACAUCAACCUCCUGAUGGAUUUUACAGGCACCCAGAAGCGUUCCCCAUAUAUCAGCAUCAGCUUGAAAGGGCAUCUGGGUCACAAAGGAAAACGCAUCUUUAAUUCUACCUCCACGUGCAAGUAGAUCCACCACACAGGCAUAAUGCUCCAUGCUAGGCUUGAUUUGAUGCGCCUUUUCCAUUGAAUCAAAGAUCUUUAACCCUUCAUCCACAAGGCCAGCAUGACUACAAGCAGAUAGCACUGUAGUUAUUAUAACAUGAUCUGGUUUAAAGUCCAUCUCAAGCAUAUGAUAGAAUAUCCCAAGUGCUUCUUCUCCCAUUCCAUGCAUAGCAUACCCUCCAACCAUUGCUGUAAACAUAACAAGAUCUUUGACUGGAGAUGAUUGGAAAAGCUUGUAUGCAUAUUUUAGAGUAGCACAUUUAGAAUAAACAUCUAUGAGAGCCCCAACCAGAUAAACAUCAUUAUCUAGAAAAGCCCUUAUCACAUAUGCAUGGCACUGCUUUAGCAAGUUGCUUGAGGCCAUUUGAGCACAAACAGGAAGGAGGCUCAAAAUGGACAUGGUAUCAGGCCUCAUUUUGUGAUGCAGUAACUCGGUAAACAGACUCACUGCUUGAUCAGGACAAUCAUUUUCAGCAUAAGCUCUAACCAUCAAAUUCCAAGUGGUAAGAUCUCUCUCGGUCAUCCUCUUGAAUAUACCAUGAGCAUCUUCAUGUAGACCAUAAUUCACAAACCCUGAGAUCAUUGAGUUGCAUGUGAUUACAUUCUUGCUUCCUGAUAAAUUCUCAAAUAUUCUGUUAGCAUAUAUUAAAUUGCAACACUUUGCAUAUGCAUCAAGUAAGGCAUUAGCGAGAGUAGGUUCAGUAUAACUUAACAAGAUACCAUAUCUUACUGAAAAACCAUGUGCUUCUUUAAUCUUAUCCAGUCUGGAAAUGUUAGCAAAAUAGCGCACCACAGCCAAUAAUGUGAUGGAGUCAGCUUUCAUCCCCUCUCUAAACAUUUCCUUUAACAAGAUAAUAAAUUCUUUGUGAAGUUGGUUUUCUGCUAAGGCAUCAAGCAUAGUGUUCCAUGAUAUCAAGUCCUUAUUAGAAGUCAACAAAAAUAUGUGAUAUGCCUCUUUAAUGUUUCCACAUUUUGCAUAAAAGCUUAUAAGGGCAUUAACCACAGAUAUAUCCUGAUGGAGGAAACUAUGACGAAUUACAUACCCAUGGAUCUGCUUCCCGAUCAACACAUUAUUGAGCUGUGGACAUACUGGAAGAAUGCUCAUAAGAGUAACAGAGUCUGGUCCAGUCAUCUCCUCUUUAGUGAAUUCACGGAAAAAAUCUAUUGUCUUCCAGCAUUGACCAUUUGCUGCAUAUCCAGCAAUUAUUGAGUUCCACGACACCAGAUCUUUAUUUUCCAUAUUCCGGAACAAAGUCUCUGCUCCUUCAAAAUUUCCAACCCUCAAAUAGCAGCUCAAAAGAGCAUUGAUGACAGUAGCUUCUGACAACAACUCAACCCGUCGCAAAACAUAACAAUGCAUCUGCCUUCCCAAGUGGUAACCAUCUAUCCCUCCUAAACUAGGACAGGUAGGAAUAAUAUUAGCUAUAGUUGCAUAAUUAGGUAGGACAGAACCUCUCAACAUCAACCUGAACAAUUCAAACGCCCUAUCUGUAAGCUUAUUCUCUAUCAAACCUGCAAUCAUUGCAUUCCAUGAAACAACAUCUUUAUCAGAAAUUCCACGAAAAGUAGCAUCGGCAUCUAAAAUAUUCCCAGAUUUCGCAUACAUGGAUAUAAAAGCAUUUGCUACCAACGUUUGACAAUCCAACCCAUGCUUUAUCGCGUAACAAUGAAGAGUUUUUCCAGCACCCAAAUGUGGAGAGCGAGGAACCAUAAUAGCCAGAGUAACAGAAGUUGGCUUAGGAUCACAUUCUCUUUGCAUUAAAUUAAACACCCUCCCCAUCUCCGAUUGAUGUAAUGGCGAAGAAGCAAAUCCAGACAAGAGAAUAUUCCACAUGACUAUGUCAGUAUAUUUAGUAGUAUGGAGAAGCUUUUGACAAUCCUCCAGAUGUUUAGAUUUGGCAUACAUAUUAAGCAAGGCUUUUAUCAUAAAUUGACAAGAAUGAUGACCUAACUUAAUAACACAAGUAUGUAAAGCUUUCCCCAACAUCCCAUCUGCUAUGGCAGCACAACAUUUGAGUACAUUUGCCAAUACUUGGUAAUCAGCAGCAAAAACAGUUAUUUUGCUCAUAAAGCUACAAACUAGUUCAUUCUUCAUGGUUGCUUAGCUUAAUAAAAGGGGGAACCCCAAUUUUUGGAUUAUCAACAUUAACAAUCGACUUUGAAUUCCUAACUAAUGGAAUGGUUCGUCACUCAAUACUCAAAUCAAUGAAGAGAAACUUACAGACAUACGAGAGGGAAUUCAAAAACACUCCGCUCAGAUUACCUUAAGUUGGAGUAGAAUUAACAAUUUGGGUCUCUCGCUCAAAUUAUAAUAUUCUCAUGUUUCUUUUAACUAUAUAUAUUAAUUCUUCUAUACACAUAAAUUAUUGAUUUAUUUAGGUUUGAAAUUAUAUAUUAACAACAACAUUUGUACUAGAUAUUUUUGUACACUUAUAUAUGUUAAAGAGAGAGAAGAAAAAAGGAAUUUUUGUGAUUAAUUUAAAUGGUAGAAUAGAUUCUUUAAAAUUAUUUUAUCUUAAAUUAUAUUGUUUUAUAUCGUUUAGAUUCAUUGUUAAGUAACAACGAAUAAAUUCAUUUUUUUAUAACAAUUGAUUUGAUAUGAUCGCGUUAUUACCUUAAUAUUUUAUUCUCAUUUUAUUUUUAUACUUUUACCUUUAAAGGAGUUAAAGUAAAUAAGUUAUCAAAAUUGUUAAAAAAAAAAAAAAACAAUCACAAGGAAGAUUGGUGUGACACAGCAAAACUUAAAGUAAUGUCGAUGAAUUUCUUUUUAUAUGCAUAAUUAAUUUCUUUAGAUUAAUAUAGUGUCGUUUGGAGAUGAAUUAUGUUUGUUGGCAGGUUAAAAUUGAGAAAAAAAAUCAGGAAGAUGAAUUGUUAUUUUAUAUAUAUAAACACACAAUAAUAUCAAUACAUUAAGUAUAUGUACAUAUUGAUAAGUAACCUUUUCCUGUACACUUGACUUAUUGUAGAACAAUUAUUUAACAUCAAUUUAAGGGGGAUUAAACCAAGACCCAAAUGGGAGCAAAUGAGCCAUUACCAAUCUAAUUAAUUUUACAACACUAUUAAUCAUAACUAGUACCUUUAUACACAAUCAUAUAUAGAGAAGACAUAUCACAUUUUUCUCUUUUUCUCACGCAAAUGAUCAGAAUUUCUAUAAGAAACCUUUGGAUAUAUAUAUAGACAAUCAUUAAGUUUAUAAUUUUUAUGAGCUUACCCAUUUCAUAAUAACUUCAAAAAUGUUAAAUUGGUUCAUCCAAGAAUACAAGCAAAAGUGUGGUAUAUAUAUCAGUGUAUAUUUAUGUGUAUGCCCAUUUACCUGUAUAUCUGUGUACCUCUAGCAUAUAUAUGUGAUGCCAUGAAUUUUGUGUAUGAUAUACACUUUAUAUACAUGAGGUACACAUUAUUGCAGUGAUGUUAUCCACAUCAACUUUAUAUGAUUAUAUCUGAAUUUCUUCUUCUUUAAUAACCACUCUGAAUGACUUUCAAUCUUCCUCAAAUUUUGUAUAAUCUUCCUCAACGAAUUCGAAUUAUACAAUUUUGUGUUAUCAUGGCAAACUCAAUUUUUUUGUGUUAUUUGGCAAACUCAAUUUUUUUGUUUUAACUGUUCAAGAUUUAAUCAUAUAUUAUUAUAAGCAUGAAGCUUUCAACUUAAAAGUUGAAUUACUAUUUUGCUCUUAUUUUAUCUCUAAACUAAAUAAAUAUUAAUAUAUAAUUAAUUUAAUAUUAGAUAAUAUUUUUUUUAUUUAAAUUCAUGCCUUUAGACACAAUGGUUCAAAUUCUUUCGGAAAUAGUUACAAGAAUGGAAAGACCAAAAGUUGUAUUUUUCUUAAUAAAUGUGUAUAUCAAUUCUUCUUUAUCAAAAUCAAUUUAAUUUUGGCUUGUGACUAUGUCAGUGAUUAUUUCUUUAUCACCGUUUGUUGUUAAUAGAGAAAAGAUAUACAAGAAGUAGUAUAGACACUAAAGGAAUUUCAUUCAUAUUAAAUCUUUAUGUUUUUUCUUUUUUAUUAUUUUAUUUAUUUAAUCUUGAUUUUGUUUAUCGUAUUUUAAUAUGUUUUCUUUAAGUUUUUGAUCUUGUUUUCAUCAAAUUGUGCUAAGAAUCUGUAAUAUAAUUUGUUAAUUUUGUGUGAUCUUUUUUAGUGUUAUUUGUUUUUGAUUCUUCUUUCUUAAUAUUAGAUUUUGAUGUAUUCUUUGAAUAUCAACUUUUUUAUUGGUUUUAUGGUAUUUGAUAUGCUUAGCCUCAUUAUGGUUUCAAUCUAGACUAGAAGAGGUUUACACAAUUAUUAUUUUAUUUUUGUGUGGUCUUGUUCAUAUGUUGUAUCAUUGAAUGUUUCUUUAUAUUUAUUUUUUGACUAUUUUUAGUAGUUUUGAAAUGUAUUCUCGAGGUAUUGCUCAAUUUUAUACGUUAUGUGAUAGUUUUCUAUUUUUUAUCUUGGGAUUUCAAUUUUUGUUGGUUCUUUGACGAACUUUUUCAUCCUUUAAGAAAUGUAGUUAUUACUGUCAACACAUAGUAUAGGAUCAUAGAGACAUUAACUUUCAGAAAGUCAUCGUAGUAAUGUCACUUUUAUGGUAACAAUUAAAAUAAUAUGGUUGAACUUCACUUUUAUGGUACCAAUUAAAUUGAAAAGUCAUGCAUAUAUAUAAUACAAGUGUAUGUAAUACAAAUGACCAGUGAAUAAAUAUAUGGUUCUCAUAUCUAUAUUUGAUAAUAGGGUAAUAUUACUUGACGUUUCAAUUAAUUCACAAAAUUUGGAGUAUACAUGUCACCCUUCAUUGUUUCAAGUUUAUGAUUAUUUUUCGAAAAAAUCUACUUUAUGCCUCAUUUAUAUAUUUUAUACUUGUGUCAUUUAAAAAAAAUGGAAUAUUAAUUAAUAGGGUACACGUGCGUUGCACGUGAGCAAAGACUAGUAUAUGUAUACAUACGUAAGAAUUUAUUCACGUAAUAUAAUUAUUUUUAAUAAAAAAGUAUAUUUUAACUAACGUAUUCCAAUAGUUCAUCGUAUGUGACUACGCCAAGCGUAAAAUACCUCUAAGUUGCUUCAUAGUAGGACUAAAGUAAUAUCCUGCUACUAGUCAUUGAUAUUAUUAAUAAUAUUCGUCAUAUAGAAAAUUAAUUUUUUUUCGUUCAGAUAAACUCAAACUGACACUAAUUGAACUAUAUAAAAUGUUGGAUGUCCAUGUCACAGAGUUUGAUAAAAGGAUUAAGGCACACCAAUUAAAAUUUAAAAUUUAAAAAUUUUAUUAGCAAUCUCAAAUAAAUAAUAAAUAUUUGAAUACAUAUACAUGAACGAAAGUUAUUAAAUUUUUUUGUGAAUCAUAACUAACACACUGAACCUGCCUAGGUAGACAAAUGAGAGACACAAUUUAUGUAUCACCAUCAAGAAAUGAAAGGAUUUUGGUAGUUGCUACUAGCUCCCAAUUAAUUAUGUUGUAGAUUGAUUUAGACUUUGGAAUUUAAUAGAACCUUGAGAUUGAAUUUUGCUUGGAAAAUAUCCUCGUAACUUAAAAUGAUAAAAGUGUAAUCACAUUUUAAUAAUGAGUGAAAAUUUAUUUUUAUCUGAUUAAUAGAAUCUCUAUCAAAAAAAUUAAUUUAAGAUUAGAUCCAAAAAUAAGAGUUUGUAAAUGAAAUUGAGACAACAUAUUGAGAAGAAUUCUCUUCACCCAUGAUGAUAAAUUUCGUUUGCGUACCACAAAUUGAAAUGGCUUACUGUCUUGAACCUCAGACAAUGUUUUAUAAUAUAUGUAAUUUUAUAUUUUAAUUAGAGAUAUUAAAUUUAAAUUUUAUUUGAUGAAUUUAUUUAUAUAAAUUCAAAUUUAAUUGAAUUGUGUAGUAAAUAUUACACAAGUGGACAAAAAAUGAUAAAAAUAGAUAGAUAUUCAAUUUCUUAAUAAUUAAUUGUAGAUAUAUAUGAGUAGAUUUGGGUUGUCACUUGACAUAUGGUAACAGAAAACAAAUGAAAAAAUCUAAAAUAUUUUGUGAAUGGCUAAAAUCAAGAUCGCUUUCAAGAUGACAGAAGAGCAAUUAAUGUUGAUACUACAUAAUUUCUCCACUCAAAUAUUAGUUUUACGUAAUAAUAUUAGGAACUAGUGAGUUUUUUAAUAAAUAUAAAUAUAAAGGAUCUUUCGUUACACAAAUAACAUUUUUUGUUAGAAAAAUUAGUAUAGUUUUAGUGAGAUAGGGGAUAAUUAUAGUGGUACUAUUCAGACAGAAAAUCAGCCUAUAUUAUAAAAGAAGAUGAUAUUGUGAAUAUUAAUUAUAAAUAAUAAGAAGUAAGAGGAAAUUUCUUUCAAAAAUGCAUCUCUUGUUUUUCAUUAUCACAUCUUUAUUUUGACUUCUCAAAUCUUUGUUAUUUACCAUAUGUUUUACAAUCGUUACCAGAACAGAAUUAUGAUAUAAUUGUUGAAAGUUUAUAUAAUCGACAUACUGGAUUUUCAUAAGAAAUGAAAAUAGGGUAGAGUGAUUGCUUUAAUAAUUAUGGUGACUUGUAUUUCCAUGUGAUUUAAUCACAACCAAAAACAAAAAAAGGGGGGAAUAACCCAACAGCUCAUGUAUAUAUGCCUACAUAAAUUGGUGGUUAAUUAUUAAAAGCAUAUAUAUAAAAAGAUACAAGAAUCCAAAAAAUUGAAAAGCUGGUUUUGGUUAUUAGAAAUAAUAAUAAUAUUCCUGUGUGCAAGGUGUACUAAAUUUGAUGUUUACAGCAAGCUUAUCACACUUUGUGUUUGUUGGCAGAACUUACAAAGACUUUGCUCAAAUUAUAUUCUCAAGAAAUUAAUCUACUCUCAAAAUAAAUUUAUUUGCUACAUAAAAUCUUGUAUUUAAUUUAGAAUGAAUAUCAGUUAUUUUUACAAAUAUUGGAUGACAUAUGAUACUUGAAUCGUUUUGUUAAUUAUUACCAUUUUGUUUGGAUGGCUAUUCCGUUUUAUAACGUAUUAUGUUAUAUUAUAUUGUAUUGUUCAAAUGAAUGUAGUGCUUUGAUAGAUUGUUUAUUCUCCAUCUUCACAUAAUGUACAUGCAUAUUCAUAAUUUGAAUGAUAAACCUAAAAUAAAAGAUGAUAUCAGAUAGAAUUACGUACGUACUACGAAAAGAUACGACAAAUGAUAAAAUCAAGUUAUUAAAUUCUUAAUAAGUAAAGACAAAAUGAGAAGAAAAUAUAUAUUAAGGUAAUAACGCGAUCACACCAAAUCAAUUGUUACAAGAAAUGAGUCUUUUCGUUGUUACCUAACAAUGAAUCUAGAUGAUAUGAAACAAUAUAAUUUAAAUAAUAAUCAAAACAAUCAUUGUAUUGAUAAAACUAACAAUACAAUACAAUGGGUAACAACUAUCCAAACAAACAAGGUGUAAACUAAUAAGAGUCGUAAAUUAAUGAAUACGAGUCUUUCACUUUUAACUAAAGUUUCAUGUUUGAACUUCAAAUACAAAAAAUGAAAUUAUAUUAGAAAGCAUGAGGCUCACUAUGAAUAUAGAUAUCAAACAUUAAUUGAAAAAUAAAAUAAAAAAAAGAGAGAAGUUAGGUGUCGUUGCUUGUCAUUAGUCCUUGAUUAACAAAUCAAUAUUCCUUAAUCACCUCAUUUAUUUAUAAUCACCCCCAUGUGCUUUGCCAACGUAUUAUCAUCACCUCUAUGGCCCUACUUAUCAAAUCAUUAAUCAAAACAUAUAUUCAUCAUUCAAUUAUUUUAUUUGAAUUAACCUUCCAAUCAACCCCCAUUCCUCAUAUAUAAAACACUAUUUUUAGUCAUUAUAUUUAUGUAUAAGUAGGUAAAAAUACUAUUCCUAUCAAUUAUUGAUGGAUAAUCCCACCUGUUUAAUUUGUUGCACUUGUUUCAAUUUUUAAUUUUAAUUUUCAAUUCAAGGAAUAAAACCUAUUUUCCCCCUUUUUUGUCAAAUAGAUACACGGAAAAUAAAUAGGACUUUGAACAUGAUUUUUCCCCAAAAAAAAAAAAGGUUGUAUUGAAUUAUUAAAGGUGACUAUAUAAAUGUUGUCGAAAGAUAAUUUGUCCAAAUAUAAUUCUAUAACACUUUGUAUUUAGGUAAAAAAUAAAGUAUAUGGUCAAGAAAAUAGUAUGGCAGUUAUGUAAUUUAGAUAGAACAAGGAGGGCAGAUUUGUCACGGGGAGAUUUAUUUUGACGGCGUGAUUUUUGUAGAAACCAGCGAAGCCACGUUAGCAAGUUGGAUUUUAAGGUCCCACGCCAACUCUGAUUGACCCACUUGCUAGCUGUUAAUUUCUUUUACCCAUUUUGCCCUCAAUAUUCAUUCAUCAAAAUCACCCACUCCAAUCAUUAUUUCCUCAAAUUAGUCAAAACCAACCAAUUCAUUACUUCAAAUGACCAUAAUAUCCUUGAUGACCUAGUUAUUAAUGAUAUAAAAAAUUAUUCAUAGUAGCAACAACUGUAUAAGAUAAUACAUAGAUUUUCUCGCGUAUAUUAGUUAUGUGAUUUUUAAAUUACAAAUUAAAUAUCGUAUUAAUUUUAUGUAACUAACUAUUGAACAUGAUAUUACUUGUGCGACAGUUAAUACUUACAUAAUUGAUCACCUUCAAACUAGCACUAUAUGAAAAAUAAUCAUUAGUGGUAAUUAAUUAAUUUUUAUUUAUCACUAAAUAUGCAUUUUUAGUGACAAUUAGAGCUCUUUGUGUAUGACACUAAAACCUUUAGAAAUAUUGAUUCUAAUGACACUUAACUAAGCACUUUUUAUUAAUAUCAAUAUUCAAUAUCGUUAAAAAUCAUUUUGUUAUAGUAUCUAUCCGACGGCCAUUUAUUAUGUGUAUCUCAAUUCUUCAUUAAAUCAUGUUAUCUUCCAACAGAAUAACUAUGGCAAUCAACAUUUAAGUAAAUAAAAACUGAAGUACGUAAGAUUGUUUAUCUCCGUUAAGAGUUGAAUUUUUAUAUCUAAAUACUUUUAUUGACCAAUAAAUUCUUUGACUACAACUUUAUGUAUUCCUUCGAAAUAUUUUGAAUUGAUAACUAUUAGGAAUAUUAAGUGUUUUUAAAUAUAUUUUUUUAUUUUUAAUUAAAACGAAAAAUUUUACGUAUAAUUUUACGUUCAAAAUUAGAAAAAUCGUUUCUCGAAGUUUAUAACUUUACCUAAAUUAAAACGGGUGAAGUAUUUAAAUUAAUUAUGUAAGGGUGAAUUUGGUAUUUAAAUUAGUUACUUAUUGAUUUUUCUUUUUCGUUAAAAAAAACAUGUGUGCUGUGCAAGUAUCCAAUGCUCAAAUUCUACGAUCAACUCUGUUCACAUAAAAAGCCAGAGGUGUGAAAGCAUGGUGGGUUAGGUCAGCAUACGGUUAUAUGAAGCAGCGGAUUCAAAAUUUUCAUAACGAAAUUUAAUAUUUAGUAUUUUUUAUAAAAAGUUAAUUUUAAUCCAUAAUGAUAUUAUAUAAUAUUUUAUCAAAAAAAUUGAAUUAACCUGCUACACUCGUAUAGAAGCGUUCAAAAAAUAAUUUAACUGAUAUACCAAUUGAAAAACAUAAAUAGUUUAUUGGUAUUAGGUUAAUGAUUUUGUAUAAUUUUUAUUGGGUUAUUAGUUUGGUUUUCAAUUUUAUGAUUUGACAAAUAAUUAUAUCGAUAACCUAAUGAGAUUAUAUUAAAAUUACUCAUUUACUCCCAGAUAUUAUACUAUGACUUAUACAAUUUACUAACCUUAUUUUCUAAAUUUUAGUAUUACUGACGAUUGUAGGACACACAAACUAGCCUUUUUAUCGUUACACUUUCUCUAUUCUCGACACAAAUUAGUGAGUAUUAUUUUUUCACUUGUUGCACUUCUAUUUUUAUAGAUAUAAAAAAAUAUUUUUUGAUCCAUUAAAUUGAAAUCAAACCGUUGAAGAUAAAAAAAAAAUCUAUUUUUCCAGUGAAUAAAUUGAUAAAUCAAACUAACCGAUCGAUGCAUAUGGAUAUAUGUGUAAAUAAUGAGAAAGGGAGGGAGUAUUUGGAGUUGAAAAUAAGUCUUUGUUGGUAUAAGGCCUUGUCAGGUCCUUAUAUUUGGAAGCACAGUUGGCUAACAAAUAGAAAAGUUUUUUUUUUGAAUUGUCCACUCAUAUAUAACAACAGUUAUCUGUUAUUAUUAUUAGAGAGCAAAUAUAUAAUUGCAAACAAAGAAGAGAGAUAUUUCAGUUUGCUUUCUUCAUAUUCAUGUAAGUGAAACACACAAUACUCAAUUCUUUCUUGCUUUCUUACUACAAAAAGGUUAUCAUCAAUUUUUUGGCUAUAAAAUUACUUUGAUAAGUUGUUACAAAUUCACUAUUGAAUAGAAUUAACAACAAUUUUUGUUGUUUAGUUAUAAAAUUUGUCUUUCGUUAACUCUAAUUACCUUUUAGCUUUUUGAUGAUAUAUACUUAAUAGGAUUAACAAUGGAUUUUAUUGUUAAUUAGCUAUAGAUUUGUUUCUCAUAAUAUGUUGUUAAAUAAGAUUAGCAACAAAAUUUGAGAAAAGGAGAACGUGUAGGACAAACUUAAGGUCAAUUCUUUCUUUUAGGUGUUCCAUCUAUUGUUAAUUCCUAUUUUUUCAGUAGUUUUUUUUAUAUAAUAUAUUUAUUAAUCCAUGGUUAAAUAUGAUUAGCAAUAAAGUUUAUUGGUUUAGCUACAAAAUUUAUUUAUCGCUAAUUCUUAUUUUCUUAGUAGCUUAUUAUUAAUCCAUCGCUAAAUAAGACUAGCAACAUAUUUUGUUUUGUUGUUUAGCUACAAAAAUUUAUUUAUCACUAAUUUUUAUUUUCUUAGUAGCUUAUUGUUAAUCCAUCGUUAAAUAAGACUAGCAACAUAUUUUGUUUUGUUGUUUAGCUACAUAAUUUAUUCAUCUUACUUAUUAAUUUUUUAUAGCAAGAAUUUUCAUCAUGUUGUGUAUUUAUUUUUUCUUCCUACAAAUGUAGAUAUUUUGUGAGUAUUUAAUACGAAAGAAAUAAAGAUGGGAUACUGGAAAGCAAAGGUUCUUCCAAAGAUCAAGCAGAUCUUUGAUAAAAAUGGACCCAAGAAAACUGCUGCUGCUGAGGCAUGCAAGACUUUUGAUCAAGCUAAGGUAAAAAAAUAAAUAAAUAUAUAUAUAUAUAUAUAUUUAUCAAAUAUUUUAAUUUGUUUGAAGUCUAAACAAUUUAUAAGUUUUUUAAAAAAAUAUUAAGGGAUCGAAUAAAGGGUAAAUUGUAAAUAAUUCAUUUUAUUUAUGAUACUUUAAGAAGAAUGUAAGAGGCAAUUAAUAUGUAAUGGACAGAAUUAUCUCAUAGAGUCACUUUUUUUUGUUAAAAAAAGAAAUAGAAAAUAGAAAAAGAAUUUAUUUAUACAAAUUGAUGGAUAAAAAAUCUUUAUAUAAUCAUGUCACUUUGAAUAACUUUAUUUAAUAUAAGUAAUAGAGAAAAAAUUAUUAUAUUAUCAAUAUAUAUAAUUUUAAAUUUUUAAUAUGAAUUAUUGUCUGCUAUAUUUCAGGAGGAAUAUAGCAAGGAGUUUGAAGAGAAGAAGACUGAGCUUCAACCCAAAGUUGUUGAAAUUUAUGAAGCUGCUGCAGUUGAGAUCAAGGUUUUUUUCUAAUACACUUAUUAUUUAUUUGUACUAUAAUAUUAUGCAAAUUUUAGCAGAAUUAUUAAAUACUAUUCUUUUUGGGUUUCAGAUAAGUGUCUAAUUCUAAUAUGCUCAAUUUUCAAUAUUGAACGUGAAGUGACAUUUAUUUAAUUUUUGGAGGAAUAAAGUAUAUAAAUAGUAUGAUUGUAUGGACAUUCAAGCUGUAAUAACCAUUUCUGCAGAAAUAUAAGAUAAAAAUUAUCUACAAUAAUAAAAGUCAAUUCAUUUUUAAAAAUUUAGUGCACUGAACUACGUUUUUUUGUUACGAUGAAAAAAAUAUAUACAGAGCUUAGUGAAGGAACCAAAGGGUGCAGGGCUGAAGAAAAACUCAGAUGGGGUUCAGAAAUUCCUUGAUGACCUUGUCAAGAUUGGUAAGUAUUUUACUUAUUGUUUUUUAUAUGAUUUACUAAAAUAUAUUUUUAAAUUGUUUGCUCCGAUAAUCCAUACCAAUAUAUGUUCAAAUUUACUAAAAUAUAUUUUUUAUUAAUGAUAUAAUUUAGCCUACAUCUCUUGUUUUCACUAACUAAACUUUGGUGUAUAUGUACUUGUAAUAAUUGAAGAAUUUCCGGGAUCAAAAGCUGUUAGCGAAGCAAGUUCAAACUUUGGGCCUUCCUAUGUAUCGGGCCCAAUUAUUUUUGUGUUCGAAAAAGUUUCCACUUUCAUAGUCACAGAAGAUAAGAAGGAAGAGGAACCCGCGGCUGCUGAUGACGUGCAUGCACCAGCCGCCACGUCAACUGAAGAGGUGGAGGUGAAGGUGAAGGAGAAGGAGAAGGAGAUAGUUAUUGAGUCUGGAGAACCAAACAAGGAAGAAGCACCUGCUACUGUUGUUGCUGACGUGGCACCUGCAACUAAGGUGGAAGAAGCACCAAAGGUGGUUUAAUCAUCGUAUACGUCUAAAAAUUUGCAUCUUUAUCUUCUUCUUUUUUUUAAUGUGUCAUGGUUAUUUACUGUGAGAAAAACUUGAUUUAUUAUUCUUUUGUUAGUGUUUCUCUCCUUGUUUAUUUUCUUUGUACCA
rnacentral:lncRNA from 1 species